rnacentral:lncRNA from 1 species
AGAGUUACAUGACUGACAGAAUCUUUACGUUCAAAUAUUUCAUCCAAUUUUACAAAAAUUUAUGAAUUUUUUUUUAAAAAUAUUUUAUAAAUUAUUGUUCUAUUAAAAAAUAUGUAUACUUAUUCACAUGUGUUUAUGCCGCAUUGUACGGUUAAUCAUGGAAAGUUAAAUAUGUUAUUGUUAAAAUCGAAACGACGAAAAAUAGAUCCAGAAAAUAAAUUAAUGCAAGAAAAGAAAAGAUAAGGAAAGAACACACCGAUAUUUACGUGGUUCGGCCAACGGCCUACGUCCACGGGCGAAGACGGAGCAAAUAAUUUAUUAAUGUCGAAAAGGCGAAGUACAAAGAAGAUCUCUCGAAGAAACCCGGAAACCAAAGUAAAUAUAUAUUCGACGCGCGUUACCAUAUACGGCAUCUUCUUAGCACGUCCUGACAAUAUAUCUUGGCUCGGCUCACCAAAACAAGAAAGUACGGCACCAUGCACAUUGGCUGAUGGUGUUGCUGCCACCGUACACCAUCACAAGCCACUUAAUUAAUUAGUGCAUCACAACUCCUCCGCGGAAGCAAGCAACCUCAACUUUAAUUAAUUAGCAUGGCAUCAUAAGGCCAGCUCCUUGACCGUACAGAACCAAGAACUCUCAAGCUUAAUUCGAGUCGCGACUUCUUAAUUUUUGGUUGCGGCGUCAUUAACUUGGCCGUAGCAUGUAUAUAUAAUACAUGUCUCCUAAUUAGAGUCUAAUUCUAAUUCAAUUAGAAUUACACUCCUAAUUAAAAUCCAUAUAUGCCAAAUUAAAUCUAAAUAAUAUCUAAUCCCAAUUAGAUUAGGAUUUAACUCCAAUUUAGAUAACUACAAAUCUAAACCAAAUAUAACAGUUAUCUUAUAUAAAUAUUUGGUUACCUUAAUUUCAUUAUAUCUUUUCUUUUAUAGAAUAAUAGACAUUCCUUAUAUUAUUGUAUACUAUAAUUCAUUAUUUACCAUGUAUUUGCUUGACCUCUCUUUAUACAAAGAGGUAUUUUGUAAUUUAUAAAAUCAAAGAGAAAUUAUAUUUCUUCUCCAAUUAUCUUUUGUUUCAUGGUUUCAGAGCGUGACUAGCUUGAUCACUAGCUUGAUCUACAAAAGCUGGUCGUCACAAGCUCACCGUAGGUAUCUCCCUAUCUAGUUCUGUCAUCAUAUCCGCACCUCCAUCGAUGCCGCCUGUACUGCCUACACAGUUUCCUACACCGACUAUUGCUAAUUAGCUCGAUGUUAAACUCUCUGAGCCUAAUUAUCGUGCAUGGUCGGUGUCCAUUCAACUCUUGUUUGAUGCUCUCGAUCUAACUAGACAUAUUGAUGAUGCUGGUCCACCAACCGAUGAUUCUAAACUCAAAGACUAGCUUGUUGCUGAUCGACGUGCUUGUGGAAUUAUUUCUACAUCAGUAAACAUAGACAUUCGGAUGCAGCUUAUCAAUCUGUCCACCGCUCACCAAAUGUUGUCUCUUUUUCGGCAGAUGUAUGAGCAAUCCAGCUAUGCUAUACUGAGUUUCAAGAGAUCUCCAUGGUGCACCAAGGUGAGUGUAGUAUUCAAGAGUUUUACAGUUUUAUGCAGGCUCGUUGACAUCAACUAGCGACCAUGGAUGAACCCAUGUGUCGCACUUGCUUAGCUUGUCAGUAUACUGUCAAGCAAAAGCAGGUGCGUGAUCAACAAUGAUUGUUCUAGUUUCUUAUGCACCUAUGACCUGAGUUUGAAGUGUUACAUGACCAACUACUCCAUCGAACUCCUUUUCUUACUAUUGAUGUAGCUUUCGUGGACUUGAUUGCCGAAGAGACACGUCUUCGAGUUUUGAGUUCCUCUGUUUCUGUAAUGCCUAAUAUUCUUGCUGCUCAUGGUCCUGCUACUCCACCUCCUAUGCCGGCGCCUACUUCUCAUCAUCAACCAUCUUCUAAUUACAUCCCAAAUCUUGGUACUAGAAAAGACAAGCGGAGCAUUCAUUGUCGUUAUUGUCAUCUUUGGGGCCACUUAAUUCAAGAUUGCCGUUAAAAGAAAUAGGUAGAUCAGCAUUUGCGAUCCUCUUAUGGUAUGCCUACUGUUGCAUCUGCUCCUUCUAUUCCUCUGGUCAACAAUGCGUUAUCUACAGAGCAGCAACCUUCGACUAUUCAAUUGAGUCUUCCUCAACUAUUGCAGAUGUUUCAGCAAUCCCAAUUAACACCAUCUACUUCGUUAGGACAGUCCUUUGUCUUUCCGUCUACGCCAUCAAGCUUUGGUAUGACUGAUCUUGGAGGUACUUUGGAGCAUUCCUUGAUUUUAGAUUCAGUCGCAUCAUUUCAUAUAACACCACAUGUUUUUUUAGUUUCUUCACCUUCUCAAUUUAAUUCACCUUCACAUAUUUUUACUGUUGAUGGUACCUCUCUUUCUGUCAAUCAUAGUGGCACUAUUUCACCUAAAAUUGAUACUUCAAGAUGCUUUAUUAUUCCCUCUAUCAUACAUAUAUCACGACUCUCUCUUAAUUUAUUAUUUAUUAGCCAAAUUACUAAUCAUAACUGCACAGUGACCUUUGAUUCAUCUUAUUGUCAUGUGCAGGAUCGUCGGACCGGGACUUUGAUUGGACAGGACCAUAGACGUGACGGUCUGUAUUAUAUGGACUAUUUGUACCUUCCUUCUAAAAUUAACUAUGCGAAUAUUGCUACAACUCCAACUUCCAAUCUUCGGCAUCGUUGUCUCGGUCAUAUCUCUUUUGAUAAGUUUAGUGUUUUAGUUCGUCGUGGUGGAUUAGGCUCUGUUUUUAAUUCUUAAUCUAUUUCUUGCAUUGGAUGCAAACUUGCUAAACCUUCCAUUAAACCUUUUCUUGUUAGCAAUUCCGUUUCAAGUGCACUAUUUGAUCUUAUUCACUUUGAUAUUUGGGGACCGGCACCUAUAUCAACCCGUGUUGGAAAUAAAUAUUAUGUUAUUUUCAUUGAUGAUUACUCAUGUUUUACCUGGAUUUAUUUUAUACAUAACAAAUCUGAACCUUUUCAAUUGUAUCAAAAUUUCUCUAACAUGUUUCAAACUCAAUUUGGUGUCACUAUUAAAACUUCUUGCUCUGAUUCUGGUGGUGAGUGUCUUUCGAAUGAAUUUCGUCAAACUUUUUGCUAAAUAUGGUACUUUGCCGCAACUUUCUUGUCCUUAUACGCCUUAAUAGAGUGGUGUUGCUGAGUGUAAAUAUCGACAUGUCCUUGAAACUGCUCGCUCUCUUCUAAUUGAUGGGCCUGUGCCUAAACAAUUUUGGGCUGAUGCUAUUUCUUUCACAAUUUAUUUGAUUAAUAUUAUGCCCUUUGGUAUGUUCUCUGGCAUUUCCCCUAGUGAGAGAUUGUAUGCUAAUUCACCAUCUUACUCAUUUUGCAUGUUUUUGGAUGUACUUGCGUUGUUCUCCUGCCCCUGCAUAAACAAGCCAAACUAACUCAAAAAUCCUCUAUUAAUUUGUGUUUUCUUAGGACAUAGUAUUUAGCAUAAAGGAUACAAAUGUUAUGAUCCUACUGCUCGUUGUAUGCGAAUCUCUCGAAAUGUCAUUUUUCUUGAACAAUUACCAUAUUAUGCUCAAUCCAAGUUAAGUGUUGAUCCCUUUGUCGUUUUAUCACCUUCUGUUGUUGAUCUUUCCUUCCUUGUUAUUCUUCCUCGGCCACCACAUUUUCUCCUGAAGAGCCCCAACCUAUUGACUCUGAGCCUACUACGUCUUCAUCUUCUGCAGAACUUCCUAUAAUACCGGUACCUCAUGACGUACGACCCACCAGUUACUGUUCCAUUCGACGAUUUGACGACGGCUGAGCGUCACUAUCCAUUGUGUACUAAUCACCCCGCGAAAUGUUUUGGUUGUCUUACCUCUCCUUCCUUUUCUCCACGAUAUCAUACUUUUCUUGUGGCUAUUUCUAAUAUCCAAGAACCACGUACGUACUGUCAAGCCGUCUCCAUUCCUGAAUGGCGGGACCCAAUGACCAUAGAACUUACUGCUCUUCAUCGUACUGGUAUUUGGGAACUAGUUCCCCUCCCGCCUGGCAAGACUCUGAUUUGUUGUAAGUCAAUAUAUAAAGUCAAGACAAAUUCUGAUGGUUCAAUUGAUCGCUAUAAGACUCGUUUAGUUGCUCGAGGGUUCUCUCAAGAAUAUGGCAUUGAAUAUGAGGAGAUGUUUGUCCCUAUUGCUAAGAUGAUCUCUGUUCAUGUCCUUAUUGCUAUUGCUGCUUCUCGUAGUUGACCUCUUUACUAACUUGAUGUUAAAAAUGCCUUCUUACAUGGCAAUCUUUAUGAAGAAGUUUAUAUGCAACCACCUCUUGGUCUUUCCCAUCCAUCCAGUCAUGUUUGUCGACUUCGAAAAGGCUUUAUACGGUCUUAAAUAAACUCCUUGAGCUUGGUUUGAAAAAUUUCAGUCUGCUAUUAUUUCUUUUGUAUUUCAUCAAAGAAAAAAAUGAUUGUCUUAUUUAUUCACACUUUUGCUCAUGGGCUCACUGCCUUACUAUUGUAAGUUGAUGAUAUGAUAAUUACCAAUGAUAAUCUUGAUUGUAUUUAUUCUGUUAAAUCCUAUCUUCAGCAAUAAUUAGACAUGAAAGAUCUUGGCCCUCUUCGAUAUUUUUUGAGAAUUGAAGUGGCUUAUAAUGUUCGAGGAUAUAUAUUGUCUCAACAAAAAUACAUUGCUGACUUGAUAUCUCGUGCUAGGCUCACCGACAUCGACACUGUGCAUACUCCUAUGCAGCUCCACCAAAAACUAACAAAUAUGGGCGAACCUUUCACUAAUCCUACCCGUUAUCGUGAGCUAGUUGGUGCGUUAGUAUAUCUCACUAUAUCUCACCCAGAUAUUGCUUAUGCGGUCCAUAUUGUUAGCCAAUUUAUGCAAGCACCUACUUCUGUUCACUAUGCUGCUCUUUUACGCAUCUUGUGCUAUUUGCGAGAAAGUAUUAGUCAAAGUUUAGUAUUUUCUUCCUUUUCCAAGCCUCAACUUCAUGCCUAUUGUGAUACUGAUUGGGUUGGAGAUCCUACUGAUCGUCAGUCUACGACUGGCUAUUGUAUUUUCUUUGGAGAUUCUCUAAUUUCCUGGCCGUCAAAGAAAUAUGAUAUUGUUGCCAAAUCUAGUACAAAAGCUGAAUAUCGUGCUACGUCCUUUGCCGCCGCAGAAAUUUUAUGGCUUCGUGGACUCCUCGGUGACCUAGGUGUCCAGUGCUGUACUUCAAUACCUUUAUAUUGUGACAAUCAAAGUGCGAUCAAAAUUAUGAAUAAUCUUGUCUUUUAUGAACGUACUAAACAUAUCGAAAUUGAUUGUCAGUUUGUGCACUAUCAUUAUAUUAAUGGAACAAUAUCUUUGCCAUUCGUUCCCUCUGCUCAACAACUUGCCCUUUUUUUUUACCAAAUCUCAAACUAUUCAACGUCAUCAAUACCUUCUAUCUAAACUCUCAGUAUUUAUUCCACCUUGAGCUUGCGGCGGGGGUUACCUUAUAUAAAUAUUUGGUUACCUAAUUUUCAUUGUAUCUUUCUUUUUAUAGGAUAAUAGACAUUCCUUAUAUUAUUGUAUUCUAUAAUUCAUAUAUGAUUUACUAUGUAUUCGCUUGACUUCUAUUAUAUAAAGAGGUCUUUUGUAAUUUAUAAAAUCAGAUUCUUCUCCAAUUAUCUUUUGUUUCAAAAUAUAGUAUCUAAAUCGAUUUAUCGACUGUGUUUGAGAUAAUAUUGCAUGCAUCCAAUGCAACAUAUGAUAGUACACAAUAAUCUUAUUUCAAUUAUUUUUAUUUUUUUGUAAAUAUAAUUUGAAAUAAAAAAAAAUUAAAUUAUUGGCCAAUAGUGAGCCAAGUAUAAAACAUGACAAAGAUAAUGACCUGCACUGUGCACGACCCACAUGGUGCAAUAAUUGCUCGGAACAUUAAUUCGAUGCAUAUGCUCUGAACUGCAAACAAAACUACUUAAUUACUUUCAAAGCUUCUGCGAUUACGUGCUCAAACUACGUGACACAUAAUAUUUAAAUCCUUUUAUUUUAAUUUAUUAUAAUUUUUAGCUUGAAUUUUAAGAAUUAUUAUAAUUAAAUUUCACACUUCAAUUUAGUUAACUAAAUUUUAAUACAUCGUUGAUAUAAAAGCCUUAUGUCAUCUUAGAUAACAUUAGCACUACGCCAUUUCUACAUCAGCCAGAGAUCAAUAUUUAGCCAACUAAAUUCAGUUAUAGAACUUGAUUGCAAUAGUUCUGAAGUUUCCGUGAUUAUAGUUUGAGGGCCAAAUGCGUAAUUUAUCUUACAUGCCACUAUCAGUGCUAGAAUGAGAAAGUCUUGUACACGAAAGAGACUGGUAAAUUACUCGGUGAUGGUUCAAUUCCAUUCGCUCAUCUCACUUUUAAUUUUACUAAUUUCGCUGUAAGAUAUAUAGAACCUUUGACUCUAGAUCAAGAUAAGGGAAUACUUUUUUUCUUAGAGAUAUAUAGGCAGCAUGCUAUCUGUUUCGUAUAUUUUAUUUAAAAAUAAAUUUAGUUGGAAAUUCGAAUCAAUUAGAAUUCGAAUUUGAGACCUCAAAUAUCAACCACUAAAUUUUUUAUCACUUGCGUUAGAAACGAUGGAUGGAAAUACUUUUUUUUUUUUUUGAGAGAGAGAUAGGUAGCACACUACCCGUCUCGUUUAUUUCAUUUAGAAAUAAAUUUAGCUAGAAAUAUGAAUCAACUAGGAUUCGAACUUGGGUCUCGGAUAUCAACCACUAAAUUUUUUGCCAUUUGCUCUAGGAAUGACCAAUUUUUUUUUUUUAUUUUUGUGAGCGUAGACUUUAGUUAAGCCGCACAAUCUACUAAAAUAGAUAUAUAUAUAUAUAAUAAUUAAAAAAAGAGUUGUACAAUAUUACAAAGUAGCACAAAGGAUGCCAAAUAUAGAACGUACUAGGGGGAUACCCUAAGCAUUCGCCCUUUCCAAAAGAAACUCUGUGCAGGCGCACUGCAGGGGAGCAUUGAUGUAACAACCCCCAAAAAGGAGCAUGCAUCAGCGACUCGGCGACACCCCCACCACCGGGCACUACCCAACACCUGCAAAGCACAAAAGGGGACUCGCCAUCACAUGCAUUUGUCCUCAUCCUCCUCGUCCUCCUCCUCCUCGCCCCCAGAUCCAAAUCUAUCUCCCACACAAGCAACUAAUCAUACAACAGAACCCCCUCUCCUCCCCAUCCCCACCAAACCAAAAAACAAAACAAAACAAAAAAACAAACAAAAGGAAAACAACUUAGCUAGCUUAUAUAUUAUUAGAGUCUUAAUGUGAGAUCGAGCUCGGGCUCAUCCUCACUACUAUUUUGUUGGUGUUGGUGUUGGUUUUGGCGUGGUGGUGGGAGGGAUGGGUCGACGUUGGAGUGGUGGGGGUGGUGGUGGUGGUGGUGGGAGCCGCGUUGCCAGUUGAGGAGAUCGAAGAGCUCGUCGGGGCCGACGGGGGGGUCGGCGGCGGCGGACAUUGCGCGGUUGGAGCUGACGGAGGCGAGCAGCGGCAGGUGGGCGGCGAAGCGGGCGGUGCCGCCGGCGGCGGCGUAGGAGCUGUUGGCGUAGCCCCAGAAGCACGAGCUGCCGCCGUCGUACGCGGGCGGCGCCGAUCGGCACGAAUGGGAGGCGAGCUGGAAGGCGGUCGGCCCGGCCGUCGGGUAUGCAGGAGGGAGGUAGAGGUCGAGGUCGGACUGCAGGCCGCCGACGCUCCUCUCCUUCUUGUGCGCGUUCUGGUGUCCCCCCAGCGCCUGCGAUUUCAGGAACUUCUUGUUGCAGAACAGGCAGGGGAACAGCUUCACGUCCGCCCCGCGAUGAUCCUCCUUCUCCUCCUCCGCCGCUGUCGGAGAGCCCGCAGCAGACAAGGCGAGAGAGAGGCUGGGGGCGGAAGGUGGUGCUGGUGCUGGUGGUGGUUCCAUUUUUCUGGGUUUAGGGUUUCUAUUAUUAGCAACUCUAUGUAUUUAUGUGCGCGAAUAUACUUUGCAGGAGGAGUGAUUUACUAGUUUUCUGGACAGCGUAUAUAAUUGUUUUAUUAUUUCCCUGCUCUUCGUUGUCAAGAAGCAUUUAGGCCUCAUCUACAGUAGGAAAAUUUUAAGGGGGGGACCAUUCAUUCCAGCAGCUGCGGGACCAUAUAAGAGUGUAUUCUACAGAUCUAUUUGUUCCAACCCAAGCAGAUUUGAUUUCUUUGGAUUGAAUCAAAUUUAUUUUUGGCUGAGUUAGAUUUCAGAUAAAGAAUUUACUGUAUCUUCGCCGUUUGUUUCUACAGCUAUAGAAGUUGAGUUUUACCGGCUCUACUGUUUGUUCCGCACCGCAGAAAGUGAAUAACGUAAUAAAUAAUAAAUUAUAAAAUUAUUUUAUUUUCUGUAUUCUUGAUAAACUUACCUCUACUCUACUGUGAUAUUCUUCUCUCUCAUUUAACUUAAUAAAUAAUAAAUUAUAAAAAAUUAAUAAGUAAUAUAAUUAUAUUUCUAUACAAUUAUAAAAAUAAAAUUUAAAAUAAUUUUAUUAUUUUUUUGUAUAUAAAUGAUAAUAAUACAACAAAUAAAAUUCUGAAGUUAAAAAAUAAUUAACAUUUAAUAAAUUAAUUUCAUCGUUUAAAAUUUAAACGUGCAAAUUAAAUAAAAAGUAUAUUGAAACUUAACUAACCAAACUUCAUCAUAUUUUAAACAUACAAUCUAAAUAAAAAAUUAAUCACUACCAUAAUUAAAUAUGUUUGAAUAGAAUAUAAUUAGAAAGAGAGAGAAAGAGAGAGAGUAACCCUACAAGUCACCAUAAUUAAGUUCUUCACUAAUAUUUUAUAAUUUUUCUCUCUUCUUUCACUUCAUCGGUAUUGACUUCAUCCUAUAGAAGAGUAAAGUCAAUUUCGAUAUUUUGGGUGAACUGGAUAGCGAAAGUGAUCAAUUUUCGCUGAAAAUUAAUUUUUCGCUCCCCACUUACGGUAAAAUAAGCAAGCCCUAAACCGCACAAAAUAUUCUAACCUCAAAAAAAUGAAUUUACAAUUAAUACAGUGAUCGCGCACUACAGGGGUGAUCUCAGUAAACAGAUUAGCCCAAUGCUCGUUGAUGAUUUCUAUUGAUUUAAGGCUUUUGUGCUUCAUAUUCUACUUCUAUCUAUUUCUCCCAGUGACAUGAAAAAAAAAAAGAAAAAAUUUUAAAUACCAUCCUGUGAUUUCACACUUUCUCACUUUAGUAUCAUGUGAUUUAAAGUAUAUCAAUAUAAUAUCCUGUGAUUUUAUUUUUUUAUUAUCGUUUUUAUUAAUUUUUUCAUUAAAUUAGUGGCAAAAUUAAAACUAAAGGGUGCUAAAGUGAAUAUUCGAUAAAUAUAGGUAGAGUAUCUGAAGUUCUUUUUGUAUAUAAUUCAACGAAAUAUCAACAAAGAAGCUGAUGAAAAGAUAAAAAUAAAAUCAAAGAACACUAACUUAAUACACUUUAAAUCAGAUAAUACUAAAGUAAAAAAGUACGGAAUACAAAAUUGAGAAAGCAUGAAACCAGAAUGAUAGUAUUUAAAGUUUAUCCAAAAAAAAAAAAAAAGUGGUCGGCCUAAAAAUGAUUGAACCUAGCUAUAUAUCGUGCUCAAAAGUAGCUAGUGCGCCGGACACCAGAGGGUGUAAACAGGAUUGGAAGUGCGAAAGGACUGGGGCAUCGCUCAAAAAGAUGGGUGGGAACAGGAGCUACACAUUAUCACCCAUGAUGAGCUUAGGACAUUUGAAUUGGAUGUAUAAAACUUUACCUGAAACUUUAUAAUGAUUAUAUAUAUAUAUUAAUAGUAAAAUGUUCUUUUUGCUAUCAAAAUUUUAACUUUUGAAUGAAAAAUUAUAAGGUCAGAAUGAUAUUAGUCGGUUAGAGUUGAGUGGUCCCCCUAAGAUUGAGUGGUUCUUACUGGGUUAUACUAUUUAAUCCAAUGGUUAGAAAUAAUGAAAAGAGUUGAUCCAAAGGUUAAAAAACUGGUAGCAACAAUGGAAUUUUGCUACUAAUAGUAGCCCAGUCCAACUCUAUAUAUAUAUAUAUAUAUAUAUAUAUAUAUAAUACUAUAUAUAUAAGAGAGAGAGAGAGGAGAGAGAGAGAGAGAGAGAGAGAAGAGAGAGUGUGCGCCACUAUACUUUAUGAGUACAAUCACAUUUACUCAUAAGUUGUUUUCGAUGAUAGAGCUUCCGAAUCGACGAUCCACACCGUUAAACGUUAUCUAGAGCAUUUAAAACGUAUAGAAAUCAAAUUUUAUAAUUUUUCGACAUCAUUACCUUACGAUCAAGUAUCACAAAAUUGUCAAUUUUUAUCGGCCGUAUGAAAUAUUUAGUAGUAUAACAGUGUAAAAAAAUGAAAUCAGUUGAAUUUUGAUAGAAAUUUCCUAUUCACUAACUAAGAUAAAAGAUCAAUAACUCGAUCUUAAAUUGAAGGAUCCGAGUCAUCAUUUUUAGGAUGUUGUUCAUUUUGACGUCAUUUAUACCCAUUUGAUGGACUUUAUAAUGAUUUUGAAAAAUUACGAAACUUAUUUCUAAAAGUUUCAAAUACUCUAGAUCAUGUUUAACAGUUGGAUCGUCAAUUCGAAAAUUACAACAAGAAUAAUAUAUGAGUAAAAGGUAGCCCUACUAUAUAUAAAUAUAUAUAUAUAUAUAUAUAUAUAUAUAUAUAUAUAUAUAUAUAUAUAUAUAUAUAUAUUAUAGUAUAUUAGAGUGGAGCUAGAAUACUCCAAAGCACCAAGUGUGGUGCUUUAGAUUUUUAGCCUUUGGCCGAAGAGAUGGGAGGUUGAGAUGAUGAUGUAGGUGGAAUAAUGUUAUAUAUAUAUAUAUAUAUAUAUAUAUAUGCCAAUUUAUAUAAAAAAUUAACUAAUUUUCGCUUUGUAAAAUAGGCCGUCUUUUUCGAUUUGCAGAUUCAGACGCGAAUUUUCAGCAGCCUGAAAAGGGGCCGGGCUUUAUUAUAUAUAUAUAUUUAUAUUAUUAUAUAUAUUAAUAAUAUAUUAAUAUAUUAUAUAUAUAUAUAUAUAUAUAUAUUUAAUUAUAGAGUGGAGACUGCUACUCAAAGCCAUCGGUGGCUUGCUGUAGAGUUUUUAGGCCCUUGGCUGGGAGCAGCGGAGUUGAGGAUGAUGAGUAGGUAGUGAAAUAUAUUAAUAAUAUAUUAUAGAUUAUGCAUUUAUAUAAAAUUCAAUAAUUUUUCGGGUUUUGGAAUAAAUAGCGUCUUUUUUCGAUAUUUGCAGAUUCGAACGAAGAUUUUCCGUUGACCAAGAGGUGCAUUUAAGAUUCGUCAGGACUGUACGUUAGGAUAUACAUAUCUCACCGAAUACAAAAGAGGCAGAUGUAGAUGAUGGCAUUUUGGUUAGACGGUUGAAAAUCCGGUCCAAUCUGUAAAAUCGAAAAAGAUGAUCCACUUUUGCAAAAGCGCAAAACUAGUAAAUUCUUUAUACAAAUUAGCAUAUAUAUAUAUAUAUAUAUAUAUAUAUAUAUAUUACUUUUUAUAAUAAAAUCUCUACCGGAACAGCUUUUUUUUUUAAGAAAAAAAAAAAAUUGCGGCGUCCUAGACUGAAAAAACAGUCAAUGGAGCUUUUUUUUUAUUUUUUAUUCUGAAGAACAUUACGGGGGUGACAGAGUCAAAAAGCCUGGGUGCACAAUCCCUUUUUUAGUCCUCCUGCAAACACAAGGGCAAUAUGCCAAUGUCCAAUGAGUGAGCGAGAAAGUGUGGGCACGAGAGAGAGAGAGAGAGAGAGAGAGAGAGAUUGAGAGAGAGCAGGUGUUUUUCGUUUGUUUCACUAUAAAAGUGUAUUUGAUUUCAGUAAAAUUAUAAAAAAAUAAAAAAUAAAAAAAUUUAGUUAAAAAAAAUUUGGGUAGAAAAAUAGUUUUAUGUCGCUAGUGUGAGGAGUGGGUGAUUGGUCCACAUUUGGACCACUCAUGUGGUCCACAAAAACCAGGCUUUCUCGUGGACCGCAUUUUUUUUGAGCGGGGCGCGUUUUGGGAGCAAGUUUUCGUUUUCUGCCAGUGGUGGGCGAAAUUCAAAAAGUUGGUUUUUUUCGAGAAUUUGUACAAAAAAAUUGUUGGGAAAGUAAUUUUCGAUAAAUAUUGAGUAAUCAAAUAAGGGAAAACCACUUUUCAAGCAAAUUUUUUUUUUCCAAAUAGUUUUACAGGCAUUCAAAUACACCCUAAGUGGAGAGAAGGAAAGUAAUUUUCGAUAAAUAUUGAUUAUUUUCGCUAUUUGAUUUACCGUAAUGUUAGUACGGUCGAAAGUUCAGGUCAUCCAAAAUAUCAAAAUUUUCGUCGCUCUCGCAUGGGACGAAGUCUAUUCCGCUAGAGUGGAGAAAGGGGAAACAAACACAGUGGAGAACUUAAUUAUAGUGACUUGUUUAGUAUUAUUUUGUGAGAUAGAGAAGGGUAGCACGCUACUUGUUUCAUUCAGUAAGUAAAUGAAUUUAGCUAUAUUGAGUAAAGCAGCUAGGGCCUCAAGAAGACAGAGAGUCAGCACAAAAAAGAAGAAAAAAGAACAAAAAAGAAGAAAACAAAAAAGUCGAGCAGAGUAAAAACAAAAAAAAAAAAGCAUAAAAAACGAAGGGCGUAACAAACGCUGCCCUCACCCAGUUCUACAAAAAUCAGCUCACUUUUUCGCCAGUACUCUAAUACGGUGGGCAGUAGAAAUAGCGUUCAUAUAUAGGUUCUGAAAAAUAGCGUUUUUUCUUUCGUACCAGAUCAUCAACCUGUGACCCUUUCCCUGACAACUCCUCCCAGAUGAUGUUGACGUCCUCAAUGUAGGGGAAGAUGUGGGGGUCGUCGAGAAGCGAAAUCAAGAAGAACUUGCUAACAACACAGUCCACCAGCAAGUGAUCUACUGUCUCUAGAUCAACGGCGCACAGGACACACCUGUUAUUUCCUGACCAUUCCCUUUUGAUAAGAUUAUCCGUAGUUGGUAGUCUUUUUUUUAAGGCUAACCAAAGAAAAAUUUUAACUUUUAUUGGAAUUUUCAGUUUCUAGAUGGCAGGAGUCGCGACAUCUUUGACACCCCCAAUCCUGAUGAGCGAGUACACUGAUUUGACCGUAUAUUUAUUGCCAGAGUUCUAUCUCGAGUGGAUGCCAUUAGGUUGAUCAUUAACUCGAAAGUUAGUGAGAGUGCUCUUCAGCUCCCUAAUACUCCAUCUACUGAGUUGUGUGUUUCUUCUCACUCUCAAAAUCUUUCUCCACCUCCAUCUGGAGGCAGAGAAACAAUCACUCCCUCGCACUUAUUUAAGGUCAAUGCGAGAAUAAAUAUCUAGAAAGUAUGACUUAAGGGGUGCGUCACCACACCAUCUAUCGUUUCAGAAAUCAAUGAGUAGUCCUUCUUCCAGCCCGUAACUCAAGUCUAUUUUGAAAACUUCCUUCAAUUCUAACAUGUUCUUCCACCAUUGCGAGACUGGUCAAAAAGAUUCUACUAUGAAACAGUGGUCGCCUUCUGUUAUAAUAUAAGCCCUUAAUCAACUUAGUCCAUUAUAGUCCCUAUCAGUAAAAAAAUGCCACCACCAUUUAGUUACCAGUGCAUCGUUUAUGGUGGCCAAAUCCUUAACGCUUAAGCCUCUUUCAUUCCAACUAAUGCACACGUUUUUCCAAACAACCAAAUGGACAACCCCUUUAUAGCUCGCCCGUCCGUUCCAAAAAAAAUUCUUGCAUAACGUCUCCACACGUUUUAAAACCCAUUUUGGUGUUUUAAAAUUAGAGAAAAAAUGCAACGACAGGUUAGAAAGAACUAAAUUAACCAAUGUUAAUAUGUCACCUCUCGAAAGAAGUUUAGCCUGCCAACUGUCAAUCCUUCUCUAGAAAUUUUUAAUGACACUUACCCAAUCUUCUUUUUUAAGCUUCCUAAACAUCAAAGGUAGACCCAAGUAUCCAGUAGGUAAUUUCCCAAGUAUCUAGUGACUUGUUUUGAAUUACUCUUUCUUUAAUUAUAUUUCAUCCAAAUAUAUUUAAUUAUGAUUGUUCUUAAUUUUUUAUUUAGAUUGUAUAUUUAAAAUAUGAUGAAGUUUGAUUACUUAAGUUUCAAUAUAUCUUUUAUUUAAUUUUCACAUUUAAAAUACGAUGAAAACUAAGUUGUUAAAUGAUAACAAUUCUUUAACUUAAGAGUUUUAUUUAUUGCAUUAUUAUAAUUUAUAUACAAAAAAUUAAUAUAAUUAUUUUUAAUUUUAUUUUUAUAUGUAUAGAAAUAUAAUUAUAUUAUUUUUUAUUUAUUUUUUUAUAAUUUAUAAUUUAUUAAAUUAUAAAAUAGAUAAUAAUAUCAUGUAGGAGAUAAGUUUAUGAAGGGUACGAGAAUUAAAUAAUUUUCGGUAAAACAAACAGAAAAAACGGAGAACUGUACUUUUUACGUUAUUCACUUUCUGCCAAACAAAGAGUAGAAUUGGCAGAAUUUCAAUUUCACAACUAUACAAACAAGCAGCAAAAGUGAAGUAAUUUUUCACCUGAGCUCUAAUUCAACCUAAAGUUCACUUCACUUGAACUGUACUUAUGUUGGAACUACACCCAAUGGAAUUCGACGAGGUCGGCACGGCGGAGGUCGAAGUUGGGAGUCCAAGCCGUGCCGACGAAACCCGCCGUCCCCUGAAACGGAUUCGCGUGAGCAGGUCGCGUAGGCCCGACAAAAGUCGAGCUCCACAAUUCUGUCCAAACACCUGUAGCUGUAGCAUUGGUUACAAAAACUCGGCCACUUCAACUCCGGCUUCGAUCAAAACAGAUCCACCAAAAGAGAGAGAGAGAGAGAGAGAGAGAGUUUAGCAAGGAGAGUAGAGUGUGGAAGAGACGGAGAAUGUCUUAUGUGGCUGAAAUUAUUGAUUAAUCCAACUAAGAGAAAGGGAUUGAACAUGGCAUCUGAAAAAAAAAAAAAAAAGAAAAAAAAAAAAGUAGUGUCCUACAGUAAAUCCAUUGAAUUUGCCCCCAUGCCAACAGGCAUAGCACAGAGAUUGUCUCUAUAUGGCUAAAUUAUUGAUUAGUCCUAUUAAGAGAGAUUAGGAUCAAACAAGCACCUAGUAAGAAUUCGACACUUGCUCCGAUACAAGUAGGUGUAUCUAGCAAAGGGCACAAUAAAAUAAAAACUGGUUAAACAUUUUUUUUUUUUUUUGAGAGAGAGAUAUGUAGCAUGCUAUUCGUUUCGUUUAUUUCAUUUAGAAAUAAACUUAGCUGAAAAUAUGAAUCAAUUAGGAUUCGAACUUGAAACUUCAGAUACCAACCAUUAAGCCCUUUGCCACUUGUGCUAGGGCCUGUCAGUAAAACUAGUUAAGCAUGUUACCACCAUAAAAUAGUGUUAAUUACCUUACUUGUAUGAAAAAGAUUAAAUCUUUAUUGAGAUGUAAACUUUUAUUGAAAAUGUACGACUGGAUUCAUAAUUGAAAUUUGGAAUUGAAGUUAAAGCCUACUUAAGUAAAAUUCAGUGAAUGAAAAAAAUUAAUUUAAAUUAAAAAGGUUCAAUUAUAAAAAAAAUUUCUGUUAAUACCUGCUUUUUUUUUUUUUUUUUCCUGUCAUUCAAAAACCUUCACUUUGCCCCCUUAAAAAAUUAAAAAUGUUCACUUUGACCCCCGCCGUCAAUGUUCUGUUAGAGUUCUAUUUAUAUCCCAUUUUUAACACCAAAAUUAUUCCUGAAACCCGCUUUCUUCCUCAUCCUUGGCUGCGCCGCCUCGCCCACUGCCGCGGUGCCGCCUCGCCCACCUCUCUAUCCAUACCCCCACACACACGCCCACGUCCGCCUCUGCCGCCUCACCCUCGUCCUCGCCCAUCUCUCCAUCCACGCCACCGUGAAAAAAAUGAGGGACAAUUUGAUCAUUUUAUCACAGCAUAUUUCCCUGUGAACAUUUUUUAUUUUUUAACGGAUAAAGUACAAAUUUUUAAAUGAUAGGAGGCUAAAGUGAAAAAGUAGGUAUUGAUAGGGAGAUUUUCUGUAAUUUGAAUAAAUAGCUUGAAUUCAUAAUUUGAAUAAAUUAUUAAAAAUUGAAGUUCAAGUUGACACUUAAUUUUGCAAACAAACUUAGAUUUACGUCCAAAUAUGAACUUAAAAACUUAAUUCUUGAAUUCAAAUUAACAUUUUCAGCGUACACUUAAAAUUUAAACUUAAAUUUAAAUUUCUAGAGUUCACAAUUAAAGCUAAAAACAUAAAAUUGAAAUUACAAAAAGUUGAAAAUAAAAAUUUAAAAUAGAAAUAAGAAAUCAAAACUAACACCAAACCACCUUACUCCCAACAAACUCAACCUUUACAUGAACUUUUUGCUUUUGAUAACCAUUUCACGUUUCAACCAGCAGGUUGCAAUUUUUUUUUUUUUUUUUUUUUUUAAGUGAGACCUAAAAAAUUUGGAAUGGUUUUUAAAUUCAGUCAUAAGAUUGUACCAAAAUGCUAGACUUUUUUAAACAAUUGAUGUCAACAUUUUAGUUGGUAAUGUAAAUUACAAAUCUAAAUUCAAAAUCCAUAUUUAAAUUAAAAUUUUUUUUUUAAUUUAAAGCAGAAAUAUUUGAAUUUAUGUAAGAUAUAUAUCUAUUUGAGCAUGCUGAGUGAUAUUGGAAAGGCUAAAUAUAUGAAGUAAAUUUGUUUAUUAUUAGCGCACUACAUAGGAGCACUGCUCUAAACAUAUCUAUUGUAUUCCACUGAAUUUGCCUCUUUGUACUGGUGUAAUAUAGAACUUGUCACGCAGGAAUGAAACUCCUGUCUCUCAAUAUCAACGUUUUAUGAUUUUUUUUUUUUUUUUUUGAGAGAUAGGUAGCAUGUUACCCGUUUUGUUUAUUUCAUUUAAAAAUAAAUUUAGCUGAAAAUGUGAAUCAAGUAGGAUUCGAACUUCGGAGCUCAGAUACCAACCAGCAAUCCUUUUGCCACUUGUACUAGGGACGGUCGGUCCUACCAAAUGAAAUUCAAUAUGUAAUCCUAUCUUUACACUAGAACUUCGAAACGUUUUGAAAUCAUACUUUUAAACUAGCCAUUAGUUGCACGCUUGCGGAGGGAGCUGAGCCUAAAAAAGACACAGUUUAUGGCUGCAGGAGUUAUGUACUCCACAAGGGACUCUAGAGAUGUAACAACCUAGUUUCUAAUCUAUGUUAUGAUGGUAAAAUAUCUCAGUGUGAAGCUAUAUAUUGUGGGUUUGAUCCGAAUUGUGCUCGGAAUAACAUAGAAUUUAUGACCUUUCCGUCCUUAGAUAUGUUUGGCGAGAGUUCAGAAGUUGAUUAGAUUUGUCCCAAAAAAUAAAAAUAAAAAUAAAAGACGAAACACUGGGCCCAAUUUCAGUAAAAGCCCAUUAAGGUCCAGGUCAAAGAUAAUGGGCCGGAUUUAGUACACGUAAUUUGAGCAGAGGCUCAGAUCCGACCCAAAAAAAAUUUAAGUAAUGGCCGAGCACGAACUCUUCUUAUUGUUCUUCUUCUUUUUUGUAGUUGUAAAAUAUAAAUGGUCCUACAAAGGCAAAAUAUAAAAAAGUGUGCACAUUGCCCGAAUUUUGGCGCAUUUUGAAUUUUGGCAUCUAAACUUUUUGAAUUUUCCGCUGUUUGACAGUAUAGUUUAUAAAUCUUUUGAUAGAAAGUAAUAAAUUUUAGUAGAAUUUGACAAAGUUUUUUGAAAUAUAUUUAGAUCUCAAAAGAAAUAUAAGAUUAAAAAGCUAAAAUUUAAAAUUUUUAAAUUUCGGGCAUUCAUUUCAAAAUAUACUAUAGUUUAGGUAACGGCUAAGAAUGGUCUUAUUUGCUCACACUUAACAAAUUUCACACUUUACAACAAAUUAGAGCCCUAAGUGUUCUUUGUUUAGCAUUAACAAGGACCUAAUUAAUUAAAAUUAACCAACCACUCCAACCUCAUCUAAAACACAAUAUCCUUAAUAUUAAAAAGAGAUUCUCCUUAUAUCAUAUUUCCUAAUCCAAGUUGCUUGACCUCUUUCCGCCGAAUCGUUGAAGUUAAUCGUUUAUUAAUGUUAAACUAUGGUUGAUCUUUUUCUUCUUUGGGUCUAGAUAGAUUCAUUGAGAAUAUGAUAAGAGGAUGCAUAAUUCAAAAAGAGUAAAGAAAAAAAAAAGAAAAAAGAAAGAAUCCAUGAACAAAUAAAGGCAAGCAUGCAUGGAAAAAAAAAUGAAGAGCAAAAGUCUCUAGCUAUAUUCUACCUAGUGAUGGCUUAAGAGUCAAAUGGUUAGGUCAUAGGAAGGUAAGUUCCACCUAAUUAUAAAACCAAUUAGCAAAUGUAGGAAUAAGAUAGAGCUUAAUUGUUGUUUUAGGAGCUCAUUAAACACUAUAUAGGUAUAUUGGAACUCAUUUGAAAAGUUAAUUUGGAAGCUUACAUUAAUUGUAUAAUUGCAUGUUAAUUUGUUAUCUAAAACAAAAUGGCUUUCUUUUUCUUAAAAGAAAGGGAAAAAAUGAUCUAUGUUCUCAUUUGAUAAUUAAGUAUGCAAUUUGUCUAGAUUUGGUGCCUUUUAUAUGAAACAAUGGAUAUUGGAUUUUCACUUUUUAUAAUAUCUUUUCGCAAGCCAUACAACACCAAAUCAAACCCAUGUUUAACGAAGCAGCGACAUUUGAGAAAGUUUUGUUUAAAUGAUACCAUUAGAGAAGUAUUAAAUUAAACAUUCUUAAUAGUUUUCUUUUAAGGCAAAAUGAACAUCACUACAUUAUUUAAUGCCUACGCUACGACUUUUGUGGCUCACAAGCACUUUACAUAUUUCUCCUAGCCAAGUGCGCUACUGAAUGAACUUGAUAGCGAAAAAUAAAAGUGAGGCCACGCAAAUCCUAGUGCAUUUGUUUAUUAAGACAAUCUAAAACAUUUGAUAUACGUCGAAACAAGUGACAACGCACAAGUUGAAGUAAUUAACGAUCCUAAUGGAAACGAAAGUGCAACAAAUAGCUUUUAAAAACGUAUAUAUAGUGAUCUCUAAUUUGCUUUUUGUAUGACUAAAGUUAAAGGUGUUCACAUGUUCCAGGUUUAAGCCACAUAUAUAGAACAGUACAUAAGUACUAAGUAUAAAAUUGAUACAUUAUUAGGCUUAAAAGCAUAUCUAGACUAAGUCAUUCUUUUGACUUCUCACUUGAUGUACCUAAAAUGAACUGAUCAGUGUGUAGGGAUCAUAAGAUUGAGGUGAUAUUCUAACUAAUCACACCAUUAAUCACCACAUCGACGACUAAUAUACAAAUAAAAUAGGAGGUUAAUGGCUUGGAUUGUGCCGUUUUGGUACGCAUGGCAAAGCACUCUCUUUAACAAAAGCAACGAUUCACGACGCAAACUGAUAAACAUUACUAAGAAAGACUCAAAAUUAGUGCAAGAUAUAUGAAUUUGUAUAACUUGAAAAAAAUAUAGCAUAUUAUCAAACAGAUUAUCCACUUGAGCAUUUACCACAAAAUAUAAAGAUUUCGACGCAAUUUCUAAAUUGCAUUUACGUGAGUAGUACUUAGAGUCCAACUUGCGCUCCAUAUCGUGAUCCCAUGAUUCUUUGUUCUUGAAAUAAAAUAAAUCUAAAAAUAAUAAUAAUAAUAAUAAACAAAACCACAUUAAUUGUUCUAUCCAUUUUGUUUAUUCAUGUGUUUUAUGCGUGCAGUUUCAUGCGUAGAAUCUAAAACGUACUACAGAUUAAUUAUUUCUCCUUAAUUAUUUAUUAUUGACAAUAGUUUAGAGUGCGCGCCUAAGAUGCGAUCAUCAUAAUCUAAGUGACACAUCAUGGUAGUACACAAGGCACGUACACCACAUCCCAAUCAUAUUAAUUAGAAGGUUUGACCCUCAAAAUAAGGAAGAACAUGACAUAGUUAACAUCCUCCUAUGCUUGUUCCUUCUUAGAUUAGGAAGGAGAAAAAUCUAAGGAACUCGACCAAUAGGAAAUAGACAAGUGCCGAAAAGCGAAAAUAAAAUAACCAAAAAAGAAAUCCACAAGUUGAAAUAUUUUAAAUAGGCAAUUACCAGGUGUAUCUUACCUCGCGACGCCACGUGGAUAGUUUCGAUGGUACUAGAACUAAUGCCCAAGGGAAAAAACCAUUAAUGUAAUAAGAAUAAAAAUAAUGAUGCGCGCGUUUCAUAAUGGUACCAUAUACAGUUGAUAAGUUAAUUUUAUAUAUCUUUGAUAACUUAGUUUUAUAUACCUUUUCGCCUAGUUAUAUAUAUAUAUAUAUAUAUAUAUAUAUAUAUAUAUAUAGAGAGAGAGAGAGAGAGAGAGAGAGUUGGACUGUGCUAUUAUUAGUAGCAAAAUUUCAUUGUUGCUACCAGUUUUUUAGCCUUUGGAUCAACUCUUUUUAUUAUUUCUAACCAUUGGAUUAAAUACUAUAACCGAGUGGGGACCACUCAACCCUAGGGGAACCACUCAACUCUAACCGACUAAUAUCAUCCUGAUACUACAAUUUUUUAUCCAAGGGUUAAAAACUUGAUAGCAAAAAGUGUGUUUUACUAUUAAUAAUAUUCCGGCCUAAUUCUCUCUCUCUCUCUCUCUCUCUCUAUAUAUAUAUAUAUACUAAGUUGAGCUGAAAUACUAUAAAUAACAAACGGAUUUCGUUGCUAUCCAUUAAUUUUCGAUGAUAAAGUCUCCAAAUCGAUGAUCAGCACCGUCGAACAUGAUUUAUACUAUUUGAAAUAUCUUGAAAUCAAAUUUUAAAUCUUUCGACAUUAUUGACGUAAUAAUCAAAAGGAUACAAAAAAAUAUAAUUUUAAUAGUCAAUAUGAUGCAUUUUCUAAUUUAAUGGUGUAGAGAUAUCCAAAUUAAUUAAAUUUUAGUUAGAAAAUUUUUUAAACUAUUUAAACUAAGAUCUAUACUUUUGAUCUUGAUUACAAAAUUCCUAUCAUAAAUUUUUAAAGAAUAUUUAUUUUUAACUGUUCAUUUUUGUGUCGAUUUAAUAUCGAAAAAAUAUGAAAUUUAGUUUCUAGAUGCUUCGAGUAGUAUAGAUCAUAUUCAACGUUAUCGAUCGUCGAUUUGAAAGCUACAUCAUCAAAAAAAAUGAAUAACAAAAUUAAAGUCUGUUUGGUACUAAUAGCAUUCCAGCUUAUUUUACGUAUAAAGAAGGCCACUUCAUUUUUGGGCACUUUUUUGAGUUGCCCAUAGUAAACAAAUAAUAAAUGGGAGAUGAGUGAAUUUUAAAAAAAGGUAACACUUGCCCACUAAUGAUUGGCCACUUAAUUAAAAUUAGAAAAUCUAUUGACCUUCCUCUAUCUAUGGGACACGUGAGGGUUUACAAUGCUUUCCAAAAUUAGUAGCGUGGAAAGCAAAAACAUGUAAAAAAAAACUAAAAAUAGUACUAAUAAGUAUACACAAUUACGUGGUAGGAGAGAAUAUGAGAUUUAAUUAUGACUUUGUUGUUCCACAAAUGAUGACUCAGGUGAAGCAAUGCGUGAGGGGUGACAUUCGCAUGGAUUGAAUAAUCAAGGAUGUGUUUACUCUGAUUAACUUAUGCUUAGAUCACAUUUAUUAUUAAUUUCGCUUCGUAGAUCUAAGAAUCUUUCUAUUAGAAGAUAGUAGAAAGACAAAGACAGGCGGAUCUGAAGGCACCGAAUACUGAACUUAAUUUUUAAAACUAAGAACGCUUAAAAUUGAGUCUGAUAUCGUAUUAUGUAUAAGAUCAAUCAUUAGGAAGCGUAUAGUCAAAGUUUAUGUAUAUUUUUGACUUAACAUCUGCGUGUGAUCACUGAUCGAUUGAUUCUCUCCAAAAAUGUUUUUGAAUACGACAUUUGGCAAAUUAGUAAAAAAUUAAAAUGAAAUUUUAGGUUCAAACAACAUUAUUCUUGCUUUUCAAGAUAGAGUUACUUUAGCAAUACAUUUACGAAAGCUCGAUCUAGGAGGUCAAAUUAAUAAAACUUCCGGAAAAAUCAAAUUUUCCUGCGCAAAAGUUAGAGAUAUGAGAUUUGAAUUAGACUUUUUUUAUGCCAAAAAAAAAAACCACUUAAUUUUAAUGUCUUUUCAUGCGAAAACUUCGUACCAAUUUUUGGCCAAAAUUAGGUGAAUGUAUAGUACAUUGGUAGGUACAAUCAAAAUCGAAAUAAUACGAACGAAUCAUUGUAAUAGUAACUAGUUGUAGGCCAAGGGCUUCUAAGAAAAGCGCUUUCCAUUUUUUAAAAAAAAAUUAUUUUUAUUAAGUAUUCUUUUUAGAGAUAGGUAGCACGCUAUCCGCUUCGUUUAUUUUAUUAAAAAAUAAACUUAGUUGGAAAUGUGAAUCAACUAGAAUUCAAACUUGGGUCUCGGAUACCAACCACCAAGCCUUUUGCCACUUGCUCUGAGGACAAGUAGUUUUUUUUUAUUAAGUAUUACGAUUAUAAUUAGUAGUGCUCGUUAAACUUCACUUUCCUAAUGGAGGAACAAUCUAGUACAUGGUCAUACUACACUCGAUGAACGAGUGGAUCGAAAAGCACUUUUAAAUUCGAAGAGAAGUGCUUUUAAAAACUAAUCACACGGAACGUGAGAUGUUAUUAAAGAUGUUAUUAAAGUGAUAUUAAGAACUGCGGCCAAUGUAAGCGUUACACCUCGCCAUGAUCCCUAUAUGCUAUAGUGGCAACCUCUCUCUCUCUCUCUCUCUCUCUCUCUCUCUCUCUCUCUCUCUAUAUAUAUAUAUAUAUAUAUAUGUGUGUGUGUGUGUGUGUGUGUGUGUGUGUCAUUUUUCUAUUAUAUUAAAUAAAUAAAAUAAUGUGUCUUACUGAGACUCGAUAACUACAGCAUUAAAUAGUUAUAAAGUUUAAUGAGUAUAUAUAAUUGAGCAAUGCUUCAAUACUCCGUUGUAAUCUUAGCCGUUUAUUUUUAAUCAAUGAAGGAUUAAGAUUUAUGCAUAAAAAAAGAUGACCUGCUAUUGCACAAGAAGUACCGGUCACCAGGUAUGUGAUUUAGGAGUGUUUUUGGAAAAAAAAGAGCUAAUAUUAAAAAAUUAAAUAACUAAUAUUGGAAAGUUUUGCAUACUACCCUUAAAUCAUGGAGAGAAUAAAUUUUUAAUUAAAUUAUCCAUUUUUAAAGCCGAUUUUAAUAAUAAUUUAUGAUCGCAUUUGAGUCAUAAAUUUAGUAAUUUAUAAUUUAAAAUUAAUUUUCAAACAUCGAAACUUUAUGUUUAAAUAGUUAACAAAAUUUUUUUUUAAGUAUAAUAUAAAUUAAAUCUAAAUUUAUAAUUUAAAUUUGAUCAAUAUUUUUGAAAUUUAAUGUUGUUUUUCAAUAUUGAAUUAACAAUUUCAACUUACUUUAAAAUGUAGAAAUCUUUUAUUUAAAUAAAUAAUAAAAGUUUAUAAAUACACUAUAACUUAAAUUACAAUUUUAAAGAUAGUAACAUUAAUUUUUGAACUUUCAUGUUAGUUUAAUAUUGAAUUGAUAAUUUGAAUUGAAAUGUUUACUCGUUUAAAUAUAAAUUUUUCUUUCUAAAAUUUAAAUUUAAUUUAUACAAUUAUAAAUACAAAGUUUAAACUCAAGUUAAAUUUUGAAUUCGAAUUUAUGAAGAUUUAUCACUUAUGAAAUUAGCCAUUAUCUAAGUUGGUAAGUAACAAAAUUAAAUUAGGAAAUGAAGAUUUGUUGGAUAUUAUCAAAUUUGGUAAUUAGCUAAUGCAUACUUUCAAAUAUUAUCUUUAUGAUUGAUUGGUAACCUGUCCAGCAGGUUACCAUUGUGUAAAAGUCAAUCUUAACCUCAAAAAUUGAAUGGUCGGAUUUAAAUUGGCCGGUGUAUGAAAGUAUUUCUCUAUAUAAUUAAUGAAAAAUUUUUGUUUCAGUAGCAAAUAAUAUUCUCUUUUUUUUUAACUUUACAAUUAAUUAGCAGUUAAUUAGAAUUGAACGAACAACCUCUAGGAGUCUUCGCAUAAUAAAAAUAUUUGAAAUUAUAAAUAAAUCGCAAAAGAAAAAUUAUGAAUUUGAAGUUUCUGGCCGCCAAUUAUGAAUUAUUGAGAAAUAACUUUUUGUUUUAUUUCUUUUUAUUCUACACUUGAUUAAGCUUUUUAAAAUUAGUGUUUUGAUUAUUGGCUUAAUUUGGUAGGAAACUUUUCCAAUAAGUUGUCGGUGUUUGAAUUAAUUAAGUCCAAACUUUUAAUAAGAAUAACCACAUAAAUUAGGAGCCCGAGGGACCUACAAAGGAUCAAAAAGGAGACAAAUUGCACUGCCACGAAUCAAGAUGUGACUAGCUCGGAGUCCGACUUCGUCAACGCGGAGUUGGCUUGACUCUUUUCAAAUAUUAGAGCAUUUUUCAGGAGUUAAAUAUUUUUUUAUUUAAAUUUUAAUGCACCAUUAGUGAAAAUCAAUGGCCUCAAACACACUACGAAAAAAAAAGUUAUCAUUUUUUUUUUUUUUUGGAAAAAAAGUUAUCAUUCAAAAACAAAAUGCAGUGUUGGAGUUAAAAUUGCUAGCGAUAUAUAUAUAUAUAUAUGUAUAUAUAUACAUGUAUAGAGCUAGGCGGGUAUACUAUCGGUAGCACGGAGGCCUCUAUGCUACCGAGUUGUUCUCAAUGAUGCGGCUUCCAAAUCGACGAUCGGCUCCGUUAGACUUGAUUUACACUAUUAAAAGUAUUUGGAAACUAAAUUUCAUAAUUUUUCGACAUCAUUUAUGAGUAUUGGCUUUCUCAUACUCUUAAGUUUUCGGCCAUUGGAUUUAUUUCAUUGAUCAUUUUUAUCAGUUAGAUCAUACUAUUCAACCAACUACCCACUCAACCCUAAUGGACCACUAUCAUUAUAAGUCGGAACCACCAUCAUUCUAACCACACAUCCCAUCAAUCAACGGUUAAAAAUUUAUGAGUACAAGAGGAUCUAUACUCAUAAGAAUAUAGUAGCCCCAGCCUAUAUAUAUAUAUAUAUAUAUAUAUAUAUAAAAGAGAGAGAGAGAGAGAAAACUUGACUUCUAUAUUUUCGAAAGUGCGGAUGCCUCCGCACUUAUAAGUUGUUUUUGAUGAUAAGACAUUCGAUUUGACGAUUGGUUCCGUUAAAUAUAAUCUAUGUUAUUGGAACCGUAUAAAAACCAAAUUUCAUAAUUUUUUGACAUCAUUUACCAAUUGAUCACAGGGUCUCAAAAAUGACUAUUUUAACGGCGACAUAGCAUGUUUUUAAGUUCAAUUGUGUAGAAGUAUCUAAAUUCCAUGAAACUUUAAAUUCUACUAACAUCAAGAAUAAGAACAACACUUCCAAUUUAAAAUUUGAGUCUUUUAUCGCUAUUUUUAUGAGAUUUUUAUUUUCAACCGUUUAUUUUGAGACUAUUCGUUUACUUGGCAAAUAAAGUUCAAAAAUUAUGAAAUUUGUUUUCUAGAUAGUUCCAAUAGUAUAGAUCAUGUUUAACGAAGCCGAUUCCCAAAUCAAAUGUCUCACCAUCGAAAACAACUUACGAACUCGAAGCCUCCGUACUUUCGAAAAUAUAGAAGACAUAUAUAUAUAUAUAUAUAUAAUAUUAGAGAGAGACGGAGAGGAGAGAGAGAGAGAGAGAGAGACGAGAGAGAGAGAGAGAGAGAGAGAGAGAGAGAGAGAGAGAGGUUGAGCUAUGAUACUUUUACAAGUAUCACCAUCAUGGUGCUAUUAGGUUUAAGCCAUUGGAUCUACUUUUUGAUUAUUAAUAGCCUUUGGAAUUAAACACAUAUUCCACCUACCAUCACCUACCACCAUCAUCUCAACCUCACAUCUCUCCAUCCAAGGGCUAAAAACACACAAGUAUCACCCCCAUGAUACUUUUACAAGUAUUCUAGCCCUACUCUAUAUAUAUAUAUAUAUAUAUAUAUAUAUAUAUGGUCCACUAAUUAAAGUGGACUCUUCUAAUUUUUCUUAUUUUCAUGACGCAUAUAUAAUAAGUUAAAAUUUUACAUUAUAUUUAAUAGGUUAAUUUAUUAUACUUUUUAUAUUUACUGUGUAGGUGAAUGAGAGUACUAAAUAUAUUCAAAUUCUGAGCUGUAAUAUGAUAUUUUUAACAAAAUUAUUGCUCAUUAGAAAUUUGGCAAGAUAUUUUUUCCAAAGAAAGUAUUGCUCAUUAAAAAAUUGACACUUUUCGCUUUUACGUUCCACGUCGAUUGUUGAAAACUAGGGCUCCCCACAUUUUUACAAUUCCGUGUACACUUUGGAGCACAAAUGAAUCCAUCUUAGCAUUAUUAUCACUAUUUUUAUUAACAUUUAUAUUAUUUUUUUUAGAAGCAUCAUAUCACAAGGUCGUCUUAAUCUAUGCCCCAGCUAACCAAGAGCUGUAACCACAUUUCAAGUAAAAAGAAAAAUUAAGGAGAGAUGUAACCAUCGACAGCUAAACAAGUUAUAAAUUUCACGCAAAGUAUAUAAAGAAGAUUAAAAAAAACAAAGAAACAAAAUAGAAACACCAUAUAUGUAAGGGGAGAGAAAAAAUAAAUAGAAACAUAUCAUCACUUUAUGUUUCCUAAAUUUUUAAAACAACAAAUUUACCCCUUUAUUUUUCAGAUGUUGUUUGUUUAAUCCUCUGUGAUUGAUUAGUCCUCGGAUCGGAUUAAUUUUUGCUGGAGAUAAAAACUUGGGCUGUAGAAAAGUUAAGUACAAGGACAAGGAUAGUUUUGAUAAAUUUAUAGAGUAGAGGCUACUAUACUUUUAUAAGUGUAGAGCUUUUUGUACUUAUAAAUUAUUUGUAAUUAUGUGGUUUCCGAAUCAACGAUUCAUGCUGUUAAAUAUGAUUUAAAGUAUUUAAAAUUUUUAAAAAUUAAAUUUUGUAAUUUUUUAAAAUUAUAAUAAAAUUCAUCAAACCAGCAUAAAAUGAAUAGUCAAAAUUGUACGACAUCCUAAAAAUGGAUGAUUAAAUUCUUUAAUUUAAGAUCGGAGUUAUUGAACUUUAUUUAGAUAGUGAAUAGAAUUUUUUAUUAAAAAUUCAAUAAAUUUUGAUUCUUUUAUAUUGUUAAACUAGCUAAUAUCCUUAUCUUUUGACUAUAAGAUAAAUGAUGUCAAAAAAUUAUAAAAUUUGAUUUCUAAAAAUUUUAAAUAUUUUAAAUUAUGUUUAAUAGUAUGGAUGGUUGAUUCAGAAGUUUAAUCAUCAAAAACGAUUUAUAAAUAUUAUUGUGAUCGUACUCAUAAGAGUAUAUUUAUUAAGCGUGUCAAGUAGUCAAGGUGACACGUCACGGUCGGAGUGGUAACCAAGAUUUACAUUUCGAUAAAAAUUUAAACAAAAAUUUAAAUUAUAGGCUAUUUUGAUUUGACUAUCCGACCUUUCCAAUUUUGAUUUUUAGCGCUGAACUAUACAAUUUUUGUAAAUAUAAAUUUUUAAAAAUAAAAAAUUAGUUUAUAUUUUAAAGCUAAAAUACCAUUGACUAAUCAAAAUCAAAUAAAGUGAACAAUUGCAAAGUAAAAUCAAAUUUUGGAAGAUCGAAUAUUCAAUUCAAAAUGAUUUAUAUCUCGGAUAAAUUUUGCACAAAUUUAUCUUAUAUUUAUUAUUAUAGGAGUCCGACUACGAUACUAUUGAUAGCAUCAAACACUUAGUUCUAUCACAUUUUCUGUCGUUAGAUUAACUCCUUUAACCAUUUUUCUCUGUUAGAUCAUAUUAUUCAAUCAACCAACCACUCAACCCCAGGGGACUGCUAUCAUCUUAACUGUAUAUCGCUUCAUCUAAGGGCUAAAACUUUAAUCGCACCAAUGACUUAUGCUGUUAAUAGUUGUUAAUAUAGAUUGUAAUAAUGGAUGUGAGAAAAUAACUUGAAAAAUUAAAAUUGAUAUCAUAUGAAUGGUCGUGUCUCUUUGAUAAAUUACUUACGAAAACGUGCAAGCACACACCCGUGCGCUUACACGCUUUAAGCUCACUACAGGGAAGAUUGGGGGAGCAAUCUUCCCUGCCUAUUCUCCUUGGGGAAAGAUAGACCUUUUCAUUUAAUGCAAAGAGAUAUCUCUUUUAUGAAAGAAUAUGUUUUUUCAUUAUUUUUGAAAUAGCGUGUCCUUUUGUGAAAAAAUAUAAUUUUAAAAAUUAUGUCCUUUCAUCGUAACCAUUCACCUCCUAUGAAUAGGAGAUAUUUGAAAACUUGAAGGAUAACACAAUUAAUCUUUCUUCUUUCUAAUUUUUUUAUAUUGAUUAUUAAGAGAGAAGUUUUUAAGGAAAAGUCUUCAAAAAUGAUGUUUGCAGUCUUUCGACGGUUUUGUUGUAUGCUGAAGGUGAUUUACUGGUAACCCGACAGCAUACAUUCGAGUGGGGACAAAUAUCACCUUAAAAUUAUUGAGGAAUAUGAAUGGAGAUCAAAUAAAUUAUGGUUUUGAGGCGUGUAAGUCAUCUCUUUGAUAAAUUAGUUAUGACAAGAUACGCCUUUUCAUUUGACGCAAAGAGAUAUAUCUUUUUACAAAGAGACGCGUUUCUUUACGAAAAGGUGAACCUUUUAUGAAAAAUUAUGUCUUUUCACUAUUUUUCAAAGGACGUGUCCUUUUGUAAAAAAAUAUAACUUUAAAAGUUAUGUGCUUUUAUCAUAACCAUGUACCUCCUAUAAAUAAGAGAUAUUUGAAGGCUUUAAGGGUACGUAAUACAAUUAAUCUUUCUUUUUCCUAAUUUUUUUAUAUUGAUUCUUAAUAGUAAAAUUCUUAAGAGAAAGUUUUCAAAAGUGUUGUUUGCAGUCUUUCGACGAUCUUGUUAUAUUCUGAAGGUGAUUUGCUGGUAAUCUGACAGCAUACAUUCGAGCGAAAAUAAAUAUUAACUUAAAGAAAAUAAACUUAUAUAUUUUAAGAUCAUGAUUUACUUAAUUUUUAUUCAAUAAACUUAUAUAUUUUAAGAUCAUGAUUUACUUAAUUUUUAUUCAUAUUCUCCAAUAAUAAUAUUUUAGCCUGGUUCUAUUAUAGAUAGACAUACUGAUAGCAUUUUUCGUCCAAAAACCAUGAAAAGGGUGAGGGCCUAAAAACCUACCCUACCCGCGUGGCGGCGUGUGGAGUCGUAAGCAGUGACACAUCACGGUCGGAGGGGUAGUGGACAACACUCGGAAUGUGUUCGAACCAUCUCGAGGCACCAGAGCACAACACGCCCAUCACUGCCACAUAAGUCCACGCCACUUAGCUGGUCAACAACCGUACUACAAGAAAUCAUAUGUUACUGACGUACGAUGCUUAACGCAGUUGGUUGAUAUUUUAAACCAUUAAUUAAUAAUAAUUAAUAAAUCGAAUAUUCAUAAUUGAUAAAAAUUUUGAUAAUUGGUAAUUAAGAUUUUGAGUUCGUAACCGAUCGUUGCUAGCGCAAGUGGCAAAUAACUUAAUGGUGGAUAUUCAAAGUCUCAAAUUUAAAAUCUAGUUGCUUUACAUUUUUCGCUAAAUUUAUUUUUUAAAAAUUAAACAAAAUAGAUAAUAUGCUAUUUUUCUCUCUCAAAGAAAAAGAUUUUAAGCUCAAUGUAUAAUUAUUUCAUAUAUUUUUUGCUAAAUUUAGGUAAAUUGCAAGUUUUGGUUCUCAAAUUAUGUGAGGAGCGACAAUUUAGCCUUUAACUUUUAAUUUACUAUAAUUACAUACUUGAAUUUUAGAAUUAUUGCAAUCAAAAUUCACAAUCCAAUUAGCCAACAUUAAUGAGAAAUGGCGUGGCCGUUUUGUUAUUAAUGAUUCCCCAAUAAUUAAUAUCCUGUAUUAUUUUUAUAUUAGUGAUGCAGUAAUAUUUAAUCAACCAAAUUGAAUUAUAAAAUUUGAUUAUAAUAAUUCAAAAGUCAAAACAAAAAUUAUAGCAAUUUUUAAGAAAUAAAUGAAAUGUAUAACAUACUAUCUUUCUCGAGGGCUUAUGGGCUUGUAUAUUAUUAGUAUCAAUGUGUUUAAUGAAUUAAUAUUUAGUUUUACUUGAUUGCUUUAUUAAAUGAUCUUUCCUGGACUAUAAAGACAUGCCUUAAAUUAAAUUAGAGUACACAAAAGUGUAAGAAUUUAUGGACUGCAGAAUCGUAUUUUGCUCAUUUGUGAUUUAUAAUAUAUAGCACUUUAUUAUCAUGCUUAUUAGUAUUUCUAAAAUAAAAUAAACACUACCCUACUGAUGUUUAUUAUGACUUCUCUUUUUAUGAAUAAAAAUUCUAAUCUCUAGAAAAGUUAGAUUCAUUUAAAAUCAUGUUUUCUCACAUUACACUCACUAAGUUUUCUUUUGCUGUUAUUUUUUCACUGGAAUGAUAAUCACACUAAGACUAAUAUUUUCUCACUAAUCUAAUCAUUUUUUUAUUACUUGAAGUUCUAAAAAAUAUUUUUUAAAUAGAUGAGCAUAAGAUUUAUAAUUUACACAGUGUACAAAUCAUAUUUUUCUAAUUUUUUUUAUGAUAUGAUAUAAAGAGUCCAUCUUAGAUGCUUAUGAUAGCAUAUGAAUAUAUAUGUUAUGGAUUUUUGAACUCUCCAGCUAAAUAAUAAAUUCUAUAUAUUUAUUUAAGGAUUUGAAAGUUAGUAAUAUAUACUAUUUAAAAGUUAGUAAUAUAUUAAGGAUUUGAAAGUUAGUAAUAUAUACUUGAGAAAAUAUACAAAUUAUUUUUUUUCAUAUUAUAAUACUAUAUUUUAUAUAAUUAUUUUGUAUUUUGAACUACUAGACAUAUUUUUGUAUCAAAUUAUAAAUAAUGUUCUAUACAAAUUAAACUAUUGAUCGUAUGGUGUUGAGAAUUUCAAACGGCUCGUUUAGGNCUUUCUCUUUUUCUGUUUCUCACCCUAAGUGGCCAAGCCAGAAGCUCUCCAAGUUACCAACUAACAGCAUAUGCCCGCCGUUGACUACCUUGCUAUUAAUUGUAUGCUUGAGAAAAUAUACAGAAUAUUUUUAAAGUAAAAAAUUAUUAUUCAUAUAAAAUUUUAAUUUUAGUUAUAUAUGAUUGGAUAGUUUAAUCCAAUAUUUAUCUAUAUAAUUUAUUUAUUUUUGACUGCAUAAAUGAAAAUAAAUAAUAUGGAGAUUGAAGGCGGAAAAAAAAAACAUGUCAUGCUGAAAAGAUUAGAUAUUCAACUCAUAAAUUUUUUUUCUUCAUAUUAUAAUACUAUAUUUUAUAUAAUUAUUUUGUACUUUGAACUACUAGACAUAUUUUUGUAUCAAAUUAUAGAUAAUGCUCUAUACAAAUUAAACUAUUGAUCUUAUGGUGUUGAGAAUUUCAAACGGCUCGUUUAGGACUCGAGCUCGCUUGACUCGAAAUUAGGCUCGCUAAUUUCAAUUCAAGCUUGAGCUUAAAUUUAGACUCGAAAUUAAUUUUAAACCGAAUUUGAGCCGAAAUAAGCUGGUUCGAGCUCGGCUCGUUUCCGCUCCUACCUAUUCCGCCACGUGUGCUUCUCCAAGAUGGCGAGGUGGACUACCCCAUUCAAACCGCCCCACUCUCUCUCUCUCUCUCUCUCUCCCCACUUCCGCACCCUAUAAAUUCCCGCUCCUCCCCCACACCAUUCCCCUUCAAGGCUUCAACUCAGAAGCGCUUCUCCCAACAGCAGCUGCUCCUUCCACUACCCGACAAAACCAAAUUCAACACAAGGAGGAGGAGGAGUAAAUUUGCUCCCACCAACCCCCUUCCCCUCUCACUCUCUCUCUCUCUCUCUAGCGCCCUUUUCCACUUCCACUCCUUUUUAAAUAAAUCAAUCAUACAUAGUCACUGCAAGUAACUAUAGGGAAAAGAAUAAAGAUAUCUAUGGCUACUGCUGUUUCCAACAGCGCCAUUUCACCACCAACUACCAAANGGCGCUUCUCCCAACAGCAGCUGCUCCUUCCACUACCCGACAAAACCAAAUUCAACACAAGGAGGAGUAAAUUUGCUCCCACCAACCCCCUACCCCUCUCACUCUCUCUCUCUCUCUCUCUCUAGCGCCCUUUUCCACUUCGACUCCUUUUCAAAUAAAUCAAUCAUACAUAGUCACUGCAAGUAACUAUAGGGAAAAGAAUAAGGAUAUCUAUGGCUACUGCUGUUUCCAACAGCGCCAUUUCACCACCAAGUACCAAAACUCGCAAAUCGAAUAUUCUCCUCCUCCUCGGCCCCAGCCGGCCCAAUUCCGUCCAAUUUCCAAAGAAUUCGCUCAGUCGUGCGGCUGCGGCCGUCCGCUGCUCUGCCUCCUCUCGCUCCCUCGUUUCCGCCGCCAACACCGAUACCGAUACCGAUACCGAUACGGCGAGUGGCGCUUACUAUCCCCCUUCUUCUUCUUCUUCUUACGUCGACGCCGAUGAAGAGUCGUCAGCGCCAAUCUUGACGAACAGAAGCAAUGACAAUCUCGACGAGUGCAGAGGUCGCAGGUUCCAUCCCCCAAAAUGGAACGCGCUGCAGCGGGCUGCGGCCGCCGCAUUGGACGCGGCGGAGGGGGCGCUGAUCUCCGGGCUGCUGGAGCGGCCGCGCCCGCUGCCGAAGACGGCCGACCCGGCGGUGCAGAUUUGCGGGAACUUCGCGCCGGUGGGGGAGCAGCCGCCGCGCCGCGACCUGCCGGUGGCGGGGCGCAUCCCGCCCUUCCUGAACGGCGUCUACGCGCGCAACGGCGCGAACCCGCUGCUCCCGCCGGCGGCGGGGCACCACCUCUUCGACGGCGACGGCAUGGUCCACGCCGUGCGCCUCCGCCACGGCGCCGCCGCGUCCUACGCGUGCCGCCACACCGAGACCGCGCGGCUCGCGCAGGAGCAGGCGGCCGGGCGCCCGCUGUUCCCGAAAGCCAUCGGCGAGCUGCACGGCCACUCCGGCCUCGCCCGCCUCCUCCUCUUCCGCGCGCGCGCCCUGCUCGGCCUCGUCGACCCCUCCCGCGGCUGCGGCGUCGCCAACGCCGGGCUCGCCUUCUUCGACUCCCGCCUCCUCGCCAUGUCCGAGGACGACCUCCCCUACCACGUCCGAAUCACCGCCGCCGGCGAUCUCGAGACCGUCGGGAGGUACGACUUCUCCGGGCAGCUCAGCUCCCCCAUGAUCGCCCACCCCAAGCUCGACCCCGUCUCCGGCGAGCUCUUCGCCCUCAGCUACAGCAUCCUCGCCGAGCCCUACCUCAAGUACUUCCGCUUCUCCCCCGACGGGGUCAAGUCCCCCGACGUCGACAUCCCCCUCGACCAGCCCACCAUGAUGCACGACUUCGCCAUCACGCACAACUUCAUCGUCGUGCCCGACCAGCAGGUCGUGUUCCGCCUCCCGGAGAUGAUCCGUGGCGGAUCGCCGGUCGUCUACGACCGCUCCAAAACCCCGCGGUUCGGCGUCCUGCCCAAGCACGCCGCCGACGCCUCGCAGAUGCGGUGGGUCGACGUGCCGGACUGCUUCUGCUUCCAUCUGUGGAACGCGUGGGAGGAGCCGGCGGCCGGCGAGGUGGUGGUGAUCGGCUCCUGCAUGACGCCGCCCGACGCCGUGUUCAACGACUCCGGGGAGAGCCUGAAAAGCGCGCUGACGGAAAUUCGGCUGAAUCUACGCACGGGAAAGUCCAGCCGCCGGCACAUCCAGAGCCCCCAGGACCAGAUGAACCUGGAGGCCGGAAUGGUCAACAAGCACCGCCUCGGCAGAAAGACCCGGUUCGCCUACCUGGCCAUCGCCGAGCCCUGGCCCAAGGUGUCCGGCUUCGCCAAGGUCGACCUGCUCACCGGAAAGACCGUCAACUAUCUCUACGGAGAGGGGCGCUUCGGCGGGGAGCCCUGCUUCGUGCCCAGGGACGCCGCCGCCCCGCGGGAGGACGACGGCUACGUGCUGUCCUUCGUGCACGACGAGCGCGCCGGCGUGUCCGAGCUCGUCAUCGUCAAUGCUGCCGACAUGCGGCUCGAGGCCACCGUCAAGCUCCCGUCGCGCGUCCCCUACGGGUUCCACGGCACAUUCAUCGACGCCAAGGACUUGGCGUCGCAGGCCUAAUAAGCCAGCCUCGCCAUAGACAGAGCUAAUUUUAUUAUUGACAGUCAGACAGGUAGACAGAUUUACUAAAUCUAGUCUCUAUCCACUCGGCUGGUUUUAUAAGAUUUAGUAUAUCUGAUCUGUCUAUGGCUCAGUCAAUACCGCUGUUUAUUCCGACCUACGACCUUUUUGCAGGGCAGGGUACACCAAUAGGGGGCCUCCCCUGUUUCUUGGUUUCAGUUGGAUUUUUCCGUUUCUUUUUUUGCAUUUUACCCCUUGCUAUUUGGGGUUUUUACAAUUAUAGCAGUCAUAUGGUUUUGUCUUUUGCUUUUCUUUUUCUUUUUUUUUUUUUUUUUUUUUGUAUUUCAGGAGACGAGUUUGAUACGGACCAUGAUAGAUGGUUUUUGUAUUUACAUUUAUUUUUCCAUCUAUCGUUGGCUUUCUUCUUCUUCUUUUAUUUUCCUUUUUUUUUUUUUGUUUUCUGUGUCGUGUGUAAUGAAGUGUAGGGGGCCCAUCCCCGAAGCUUCUCUUUUUUCUUCUGAUACUACUCAGAAUAACAAGUUACUAUUAUUAUUUUACAUUACAUAAUUCUUAUGUAUGAUGGUGCCCAUUUUUUCCUCUUCUUUUCUAAGUUCGUGUGAAGUGCUUCCUCUCCAACACCUAAACAGAGUGAAUAGAGUUUGGGCUUCUGUGAAGGACUUGAAACAUUUUAUUGUUUUUCCUAAUAAUCAAAUAUCCUAGUUGAUUCACAUUUCUAGCUAAAUUUAUUUCUAAAUAAAAUAAACAAAACGGGUAGCAUGCUACCUAUCUCUCUCAAAAAAAAUAAUCAAAUAUUCCAAGAAUCCAUGGUAAAUUGUUCAAAAGGGAAUAUAUUUGAUCACUGAACUCAAAUAAGUAAGCACUUGAAGAGGCAACUAAUAAACAGGGCAAAGUGAUAAUAUCAAAUUACUACACAAACUAAUUAAGUGCACCAAUGAAGAUUGCGAUGUAGGCACCAGCAUGUUCUUCUUUGGGAGUUCGAGACCCAUGUGGGUAAGAUGAUUAUAUCAUAUCCUUUUACCCUCUUAUAAUUGUUCGAAGUGAGACAAUUCGUGUAUUAUGGGAUUAUUCAUAUAUGAACUCUUAUCCUUUUUCUCUUUUUCUAUGUGAAUCAUUCAACUCUUCUCUCUUUUCUCGUAUGUUACUCUCUUACCAAUGCAGUGAAUCACUUUUCGGCUCUUCUUCAUAAUUUACUACGAACUCACUCUUCUGAGACUUUGCACUUUAACCCACACCACUAGAAAAUUUUAUGAGUCCAUGCAUCUAAUCUUGUGCCUCUCGGGCCCGACUAUGGGCUUUAACUUAUGCUACCCAAAAAAAAAAAUAAAUAAAUAAAUCAUAGCCUGUGCGCCAAACCGUCGUAACUCAAUCAUGUUCAUAAGAGCUACUAACUUGAUUGCACUACACAAUUUAGACAAAUAGCCUAGAAUCAUCAAAUUAUCGGCUUUAAUAAUACUGGUUAGCCAGUCCUGAAUCCAGCCAAAUCCACAUGAGUGCAAAAAUAUGAUAUAUACAAUGGAGCUCAUUCAAUUUAAAAACUUAAGCUUAUUGGAUCUGAGCUCACCAGUGUGUAUCAACUAUUUUACUUGCUUAUAAUUAUCUGAUAUAGGACUAUUUAUACUUUUGCACUUAUUACAAACAUUUAUACUUGUAAGCUUACUAUGUUGAGAUUGUCCCACACUUUACACAGUGACAUGGCUUUAUAAAGUAACAAUUCCAUUAGUAAACCUUUGGGAUUUGAGAAUAUUUGAAAGAAUUUGUGAAAAUUAAGAAGGAUAUUUUGGUCAACUAGGAGUAUAUUAGAUAUUUGUGAAUUUUUAAAGGGUAUAAUAUAUAUUAUCCUCUCUUUUUUUCUAUUGUGUCUUGUUAUUACAGAUUUAUUGCCCCUUGAAGUUAUGUUGUUUACUGGUUGAGGCUUCUCCUCUUGGCCUCAAGUUGCUGAAAAACAUUGUAAGAGUCAAUUAACAACUUAAGGAUUUGAUUUUUGCGAAUGUGCGAAAAGUUUACGAGGUGUUAACGCAUCACAUAUUUGGCUGCAAUACGACAGUGGGCCUGUUUAGCUCCGCUUUUGCAGCAUCACGACACGAGUUUAACACUAGGUUGAUGUAAACGGCUAUGACAGCCCGCAAUUGCGAAAAACGUACCGUCCUGCAGGAGCAUCUCAGUCGAUGCUUGUGGGCACAGCACUGCAGGGUGUUCCGCAAAUGAAGUGCACUCUAAAUGGAAGAAAAGGACAUGUCUCACUUCACUACGAAGUGGAGCCACGUGAAAUCGCGGCUUUCGGGAUGCCAAAGUUCAAUCGAAACUAAGGACUUCAACUAGUGGAAGUCGAAGCAUGGAAGCGAGACGCAUUUUAGCCCCAUCAUCACAAAAUCGUCACGAUCGAACUAACACAACUUGCAAAUUGUUGUCCCCCAACUUGUUCGACGGGAACAAACAAGCCAUCACAUAAGAGCGCUCUUCUGACGUCAAACUGCCAUCCAACUAAUAUCCAGUCAAUCAGUAUUCUAUUUUAUUAGCAACACAAUGUAACUUGAUUCUAUCCGUAAACACGUUCACCGGUCCUUUUUCGAGCACCCAAAAAGGCACUCCUGGGUUAGUGCAAACACAUAUAGCAUCCAUUAACAUAGCUUCAAGGGACCAAGGCACAAUAUAAUAAUUAAUAAAUAAGAUAUUAUCCACUGUGCUCUACAUAUCUAUUGAAAUGAAGGUCAACUUCCCACACUAAUUUUCCUUUUCUUCAACUAUUAACUAAGCAUCAUGGCCAAACACUACUUGUGAGCCCUUUCACUCAUCAUUUUGACUUUUGCUGAAGAUGAAUUGCAGUUCCAUUCACUUCCCUACUUGCAUUAUUCAAUCCACAUCAAGCUUGCCAAGUUGGGAAAAUGCAGGUCUAUUCUCGGAAAAUGCGAAGUCGACUCAAAGGUAACAUCAAUUUGAUGCAUCUUAGUUAGACCUAUUGGAACACAGCUUACAUCGUAACUCAUUUUCGUGUUUGAAAUUUUAGAAAGUAAAUUAACCGGCGAGUAAUUGCGAUAUGUAUAAAACUGACAUAUUACAACAUUUAGGAUACGAAACCUUAUCCGUGUCGAAAAUUAUAUACUAUUUUUGAGAAUGUACUUACAGGUUAUAACCUUAUACGAUCAUGCAGGUGCAUGUAGAGUAAUUUUUAUGAUAAAGUGUAACGAUUGCUAGUACUAAUGACUUGUUAGACUCAAACUAUUGGUCCUAAAUACUUAAAUUCAGUUAUUAUUAAUAAAAUAAUGAGUUUUUACAUGUUUGUAGUCAUCAAAUCAAAUUUUCUAGCCAUUCCUUAAGCUAAAAUUAUCAGAAAAUAUAGGAUUCACUUUACAAUUUUGACUGACAAACCGAUUUUAAAUUUCAAAUUUAAUGAUCUAACUCAUUUUACACUAAAAACUAUUGGGCCUAAACAACCAGCCCGAAAACCUUAAGCCCAAUUUUGCUAAUAAAGUUUCUUAUCCUCGUAUAUCCAAUCAAAAUUUCUUUUUCACCCGAUAUAAAAAUAUAGGAAACAAGGUAAUAAAUUUUGGGUGUGCAUAUGAGUCCUACCAAAAAGAGUUGUUCAAGAGAAUAUUUGGAUAUAUACAUUGGAACUUUGCAUAAAGUUUUUCCCAAAAAAAUACUUUGCCUUAAAUUAAGAUAAAUUAGUACUUAGCUGCAAGACAACAGGUAAUAAAUGGGUAAAGCAUAGUUAAAAAAAGAAAAAUAAAACCAAGAAAUCCAUUUGGCCAUUCCUUUAAAAGAAAAAAAAAUAUUAUAUUUUAUAUAAUUUUAUGCGCAGAAUUUUUAUGUACACAAAUUAUUGAACUGCUCAUUAGGGGUGGAAACGAGCCGAGCUCGAGCGAGCUUACCUCGGCUCAAAUUCGGCUUGAAAUUUAUUUCGAGCUUAAAUUUAAGCUCAAGCUUGGAUUGAAAUUAAUUCGAGCCGAGCUCGAGCGAGUCUAAUUUCGAAUCGAGCGAGCUCGAGCCCUAAACGAGCCGCUUGAAAUUCUCAACAUCAUACGAUCAAUAGUUUAAUUUGUAUAGAACAUUAUCUAUAAUUUGAUACAAAAAUAUGUCUAAUAGUUAUAAGCACAAAAUAAUUAUAUAAAAUAUAGUAUUAUAAUAUGAAAAUAAUAAUUUAUGAGUUAAAUAUCUAAUCUUUUCAGCCUCACAUGUCUUUUCUUCCGCCUUCAAUCUCCAUAUUAUUCAUUUUCAUUUAUGCAGUCAAAAAUAAAUAAAUUAUAUAGAUAAAUAUUGGAUUAAACCUCAACAUAUAUAAACAAAAUUUAAAAUUUUAUACUAGAUAAUAUAUUUUUUUAGCUUAAAUAUUCUAUAAUAUUUCUCAAGCAUACAAUUAAUAGCAAGGUAGCCAACGGGCAAAUAUAUGCUGUUACUUGGUAACUUUGAGGGCUUUUGGCUGGCCGCUUAGGGUGAGAGACAGGAAAAAGAGAAAGAGAGAAAGCAAAUUGAAAAUUUAGGGUUCUGUGAAAGAAAGAAAGAAAAAUUUAUAAAUUUAGUGAAAUUUAGCUCUUAUUUGUCUAUUGCUUUUUUUUAUGCGGCAAAGUAACUAAACUCAGAACUUAUUCCUCAGCUAUAUAUAUUAAAUAUAUUAUAUUUACUAUAUUUUUAAUAUAUAUAUAUAUUUAAUAUACUUAUAUAUUAUAUAUUAUAAUAUAUAGUGUAAACUACUAUGUAUUUUAAAAUAUAGAGGAUUUGAGUUUAAUUUUGACCUCUUGAAUUAAGAAUUGUAAUGAUUGGGAUGAUUGCGAUUCCCCCAGAUUAAUAAUAUCCCUAGUAUUAUAUUCAAAAAAUUAGUAUAAAGGGCAUUGAUCUAAGAAUCAAAAAAUGAAAACACCAUAUCCUCUAUACUUUCGAUAGCCAAUAUAGAUAGCAUAUUACUAUAUAUAUAUAGUAUAUAUAUAUAAUAUAUAUAGUAAUAUAUAUAUAUUAAUAUCAAUGAUAUUGAGUAUUUUCGAGCUUUUCGAGCCUAAUUCGAACGAGCCGAGUAAUACUCAAGUUCGGCUUGAAAUGAAUUUCGAGCCUUUUUUUUGUUCAAGCUCGGCUCAUUUAGUUUCGAGUCGAGCUCGAGCGAGCCAAAUAUCGAGUCGAACGCGAGUCGAACGCGAGCCGGCUCGCUCAUUUGCCAGCCCUACUGCUCAUAGCAGUAUCAAUUCGAACCGUCCAUAUUGAGUUAUCUAAAUUUAUUCUGUUACGGAUGAAUACUGAAAUGAGUCAUGUGGAGAGCCUAGAAUUAUAUAUUAAUAUCAAAGAAAAUAAAAUAAAUAAAUUAUAAGCUUAAAUCCAUAUUGUGGACCACGUAACAGUAAUAUGGACAUGAGAGCCCAAAAUUUAAGGUAGAAUUUAUUGAAGCAGAAGAUCUUGUGGGCCAUGUGUCACGUGGACACGUGGAGCCCACGGUCCCUUUCACAUUGGUGCACGAGCACCAAAAAUUAAUGCGGUGAACUUUAAAUAUCGUGCUAGGCAAAACAAUGUAAGUGUUUGGAAAAUUUCGUGAAUAGCCUUGAUUCUCAUUGGAUUAGUGAAUUAUCUCGUCCAAUGGGACGAGAUUCUUAUCCUUGUAGAGCAUUUUUACUUAGAUAAAUAUAGCACAAAUAUUUAUGGGGCCAAAGAGAAAAAGACCUCAAAUUUUUUUAAUUUAAGAAAUAGGUAACAUGCUAUCCGGUUUAUUUAUUUCUUUUAUAAAUAAACUUAACUGAAAAUGUGAAUCAAUUAGGAUUCGAACUUAGGACCUCAGGUACCAACCAAGCCCUUUGCCGCUUGCGUUAGGAACGGUCGGUAAAAAGUCCUCAAAUAUUGGAUCAUAUAAUAUAUAUAUAUAUAUAUAUAUAUAUAUAGUUGAGCUAGAAUACUAUCGGUAGCAAACGGGCUCCGUUACCACCCAUUUGUUUUCGAUGAUGGAGCCUCCAAAUCGAUGAUCGGAAUGUUGAAUAUGAUCUAUACCACUUGAAGUAUUUAGAAAUCAAAUUUCAUGCUUUUUUGAUAUUGUUCUCUUGUCCAUCAAGUGAGCGUUAAAAUGAACGGCUGAAAAUAAAUAUCCUCUGAAAAGUGAUGAUAGGAAUUUUGUAAUUAAGAUCGAAAGUAUAGAUCAUAUUCUAAAUAGUUUAAAGAAUUUUCUAACCAAAAUUCUAUUGAUUUGGAUAACUUUACACCGUUAAACGAGAAAACGCCUUAUAUCUACCAUUAAAAUUAUAAAUUUAAAACCCUUUGAUCAUUAGGCCAAUGAUAUCGAAAUGAUUUGAAAUUUGGUUUCUACAUACUUCAAGUGGUAUAGAUCAUGUUCAACAGUGCCGAUCGUCAAUUUAAAAGCUCCAUCAUAAAAAACAAAUGGGUGGCAACGGAGCUAGAUUGCUACCGAUAGCAUUCCAGCUCAACUCUCUCUCUCUCUCUCUCUAUAUAUAUAUAUAUAUAGAGAGAGAGAGAGAGAGAGAGAGAGAGAGAGAGAGAGAGAGAGAGAGAGUAGAGCUAUUAUGCUAUCGGAAGCAUAGAGGAUCUGGUGCUUUCGGAUUUUUAGGUCUUAGAUCAAUCCCUUUCGUCAUUUCUAACUUUUAGAUUAAUACUAUUACCCUGUGGGGACCACUCAAUUCUAAGAGUACUAUUUAACCCUAGGGGAGACCGUAAUCAUUCCAACCGUCUAAUUUUUAAUCUAAGGGUCAAAAAGUCGAAAAUAUCAAAUUUUCUAUACUUUCAAUAGCACGGUAGCUCCACACUAUAUAUAUAUAAAGUAUUUUAUUAGUUUCUUAAUUUGCGCCUAUUAUAAUUAUCAUUUUGCUCAUGAAUUGCAUCACUUUAAUAAAGAUCUCUCUUUCUUCUCUUUUUUUUGAGAGAGAGAUAGGUAGCACGUUACCUGCUUCGUUUAUUUCAUUAAGAAAUAAACUUAGUUGGAAAUGUGAAUCAACUAGAAUUCGAACUUGUGAUCUCGGAUAUCAACCACCACCCUUUUUGCCACUUACUCUAGGAACGGUCAGUAAUAAAAAUCUCUCUUAUCAACAAGUUAGUUAGAACUUAGAAGUAAUAGAAUAUACAAGUUGGCAUAAUCCAUUUAGGGCCUGUUUGUUUGUCUGGAACUAUGACUGUGGCGAAGUCUCCAGUUUUCAGAGUCGCUUCAAUCUGCUGAACCUGAGUCCCAAACUUUCAGAACCAUGCAGGUGAAGUGUCGCUUCGAUAAGUUCCAAACACAAACAAAGCUCAAAUUACCAGAAAAAUGGUUCUUUUAUAAAUCUAUAUUUUUUAAAAUUUUCCUAAUGUGCUGAAGGAUCUUGACAGUUAGCAGAAUAUGUUAACUGAAAUAAAUGGAAAAAAAAAUUAAAUAAGACCAAGAAUGUCUUGAAAAGGAAAAUUGAAAAAAAAGAAAUAAAAAAAGAACUUAAUUAGGCUUUUAGCAUUGAUACAGUAUGAAGUAAUCAUUUUCCUCUAAAACUCCUAUUGAACCAUGUAAUGGUUUUCUAUUUUUUUUAAGUAAAAUUUCGUAAGCAUUUUCAUGAGAAGAAAAAUAACAAUUGACGGCCCCAAAUUAUGAUUCCAUCAGACAAAUUUUUCGAUUUGACUAGCAUUCUCCGUUGUAUCCUUGCCUACCAUUAUAUUUCACUCUUCACAAAUCUUAAAGCGCUGUGGCGUAAAUUCAAUAGUAGAACGAGAAGCGUCUUCAAAGGUCGAUCUUAUGUAAACUUUCUCUAUCCCAAUACAUAAAAAAAUAACAAAAAACAAAAAAACAAAAAAAAAAAAAUAGUAGAAUACAUAUCUUAUAAGACAAAAUGGGAAUGAUUCCGUCCAACAAAUUUUUCUAUUUGACUAGCCUUUCCCGUUGUAUAUGUCCUUACACAUAUCUUUCCCUUUGCGUGCUCUGUAGAGUAAAAUUCGAAAGUAUGUUGGAAAAUAUUCUAUUUGUUUUCGUACGUAAUAUUGCAUUCCGCGUCGGUUAUGAUAAAUUUUCUGCGAUCCCAUUGGAGAAUGCAGAAGCAUAUCCCUAUAUAUUUUUUUCUCAACUUCAUUUUAUUUAAUAAUAUUAGAUAAAUCUCAAUACCAAACUAAGCCUUAAAAGAUUGAUCUUAUAUAAUCUUACUCUAUCCCGAUGGCCGAUACUGAGGGGAAAAAAAAACAAAAAUUAGUAUUGUAUAAGACAAACUGGGUAUGGACACUCCUAGCCAAUCAUAAACAAAGAUUGAGUGCUAUGGGAACAUGCAUGCAUGCUACUUAGCCGGAAAAGAGGAAUCAUUGGAUUUGGUCUAACUCUUUUUGUGUCCAAGUUCAACUAUUGCUCGGAGUUGAUUUUGUGCGAGUCCCAAAGUCCCACCGCCGCGUAGUCGAAAGUUUAAAAUGCAAGGGAAAAGAAUAAAACACGAGUACUCUUUCGUUCUCGGAGGAGUUAAGAGAAUUUAUUAAAGCAUGCAUAAACACAAAAUCUAUUAUUAUUAUUAUUAUUAUUGUUGUUGUUGUCGUCGUCGUUGUUUUGAAGCUACUAAUAGGUUACAGAGUAGAGUUACUACGCUAUCGAAAGUAUAGUAAAUUUGAUAUUUUCGACUUUUUAAUCCUUAAAUCAACCUCUUUGAUCAUUUCUAAUUUUUGAAUUAAUACUAUUAUUUUGUGAGGACCAUUCAACCGUAAGGAUACUACUUAAUUCUAGAAUAGACCGCAAUCAUUCUAAUCGUACAAUUCUUAAUCUUAGAAUCAAAAAGUCGAAAAUAUCAAACCCUCUGUAUUUCUGAUAGCAUAGUAAUUCUACACUAGGUUACCCGCAUGUACUCUUAGAUAGGUAGUAAAACUCUUUAUUAGCAGCUCUAAUGUAAAAUUUAAUUAAAUUAACUAUACAUUGACUGAUAUUGAUCGAUCCGAUAAUUUAAAUAUUCGUCCUUUUUUUUUCCAACUAGAAUUGAUGAUUAAUUAUGAAUUGGACCAAGAAAAUAGGUAUUCAUGGAGAAUACAAUUAAAGCUUUGUGUCGUCAUUAACUCUCAAUAACCAUAUUUUUGUACUAACUAGCUUUCACUGUGUAGCUCUAAUCAAAUAAAAUAGAAAUUACACAAAAUAUCAAAUCCUUAAUAAAAAUUUCACCCUGGGCAUAUUUGUCUCUCUCUCUCUUGUUUUUUUUCUUCUUCUUCUUUUUUUUCCCCUUGUUUUCUUUUCUUUGACACUUCACACCUACAUUAAGUUAUUUUUUAAUGAAUAAAAGUACUUGCCCGGUUAGUUAGUGCGGCUUCCAUUUUCGCUGCACUGAGUUUUGGAUUCUGCACGUCAUUCUUCAGGCCAAUCUUGUCUGCCAACUUGCAUCACUGCUUACGUCUCUUCUGCCACAAUUUAAAUUAUCAUUCUUAUUUAUUUUUAUAUUAUUAUUUUAUAUUAAAAUAUAAAAUAAAAUUUUUACGAAACUUAACUUAGCCAACACAGUAUGCUAUGAUCUCAGGCAUCAACCGCGAAGUCUUUUAUUACUUACGUCAGGGACGAUCAAUUAUAUACGUUCGAUUUUUGUUAGUGAAAAGAAAUAUUAUUAGAAUUGCCUCACUUAAUUUGUGUAAUUAGGUCGCACUUUAUAGAGUCCAGGAAUAAAUUAGCAUUUGACCAGGUUCACACCGAAUUUGAGCUACUAAUUUUUAAUUAGUUAACUAAUUUAUUAAUCACUAAUUAUAUCCAUUUUCAACUCUUCAAAUCAUGAACCCAUAUAUACAAAUUAAUAAUAGCUAGAUAAUUUGCCUCGUGCUGAUUUUUUGAUUAAUUUAGCCUUGCUUUAGUUAAUGGGGAAUUAAGUUGUUUUUCCAAAAUGUUUUAGUACUAAUGGAAGAGUGAGAAUGGCCACUUAAUUCCUUCCAAUAUUAUUGCCAGUAAAGUGUUAUAUAUAAAAAUAUAUAAAUACCGUUCUCUAACAGUUUAAUCUCUAGAGUACAAUGAUUAUUUCAUAUAAUAUUAAAGUAGGAGAUUCUGAAUUUGAGUCACGCCAUACUCUUAGUAUUAUUAAUUUUUUCCUAUUUAAUUUAAACUUGAUGGAGAAUGUUAAAUAUAAAAAUUAUAAAUAUCGUUUUCUAACAAUUUAAACUUUUAGAAGUAUAUUUAACAAAAAGUAAUCAAAGUUAACAUCCCUAAAUACAGGAAUUAACUAUUACUAGUGAAGAGAGCAAAAGAUAAAAUGUCAUAUGAAAAAGAGAAACGGUUGAAGGAAGAGAAGAGGUCGGUUCAAAAAAAGCAAAAAAGAUAUAAAAAAUCUAAAAAAAUGAGGGCUUGCCAUGUCAUCAUUUUUAUUGGAAAUUCAUAUAGAGUUAUAAAAGUUCAUUAUAUAUAUAUAUAUAUAUUGGCAUAUUAUUUAAUGUGAUUAUCUUGGGAUACUUGUGAUUUGUGUUAAUACUUUUUUCAAACAGCAAGUUAAUAACUUUUAAAAGUAACUAUAUAUAUAUAUUACAAAAUAUGUUCAAUAAUGAGUAUAUUUAUUCGAUAAUUAAAAAAAUAUCGAAUAAAGUUCACAAAAUAUUCAGACUUUCUCUUUAAUCGUGGCAUUGACUCAGAUAUUUUCACGUCCAGCAGGGCCCCACAAAUUUAAAUAGUUUGCCUACCACAUGAAAUAAACGAAGCGGGUAGUGUGCUAGCUAUCUCUCUCAAAAAAAAAAAAAGAAAAAAAGAACUAUGCGCAAUUCCCUAGGGCAAAGUGGCAAAGUGUUUCCUCAUAUACCUUUGUUCAAUUUAAUUUCUCUUAUAAAUGUUGCCACUUUUUUAUUAUUUUUUUUAAGAAUAAACUUCAAAUAUCAUCCUAUAAUUUUACAUUUUUUUAUUUUAGUAAUCUGUGAUUUAAAGUUUAUCAGUUUAGUAUCCUAUAGUUUCAUUAUUCUCUUUUCGUCAACCUUUUCGUUAAUUUUUCGUUAAAUCAUAUACAAAAAACUUCAGAUACUCUACCUAUAGUUUUCCGAAUAUUCAUUUUAGUAUCUUUUACUUUUAACUUUGUCACUGAUUUAACCAAAAAAAAAUAGUGGACGGGAAUGAUAAAAAUAAAUAAAAUAAAAUCAUAGGGUACGAAAGUAAUACACUUUAAACAUAUUAAAGUAAAAAAGUGCGAAACCACAUAAGUAGUAUUGAGUUGAGCUAGAAUACUUGUAAAAGUAUUAUGUGGGUGGUGCUUUUGAGUUUUUAGCCAUUGGAUGGAGAGAUGUGAGGUUGAGAUGAUGGUGAUAGGUGGUGGUAGGUGGUGGUAGGUGGAAUAGUGUUUGAUCUAAGGGCUAUUAAUAAUCAAGGAGUAGAUCCAAUGUCUAAAAACCUAAUAGCAUCAUAGAGGUAAUACUUGUAAAAGUAUUCUAGCUCAAUUCAGUGGUAUUUAAAGUUUUUCGUUUUUUUUUAUUUAAAUAUUUUCUUACUUACCCCACCUCUUAUUAAAAAAAAAAAAAAACAAAAACAACUACACAUUUGUUGCCACACCUAUAAACUGCUUUAGAUGGUCCCUUUUUUUAACUUACUAUUAUUAUAUAUUAAACUAAAUGCACUAAUUUUUCAUAAGAUUUUAUGCUAAAAGAGUGUUACUAUUGUUCAUCUAAAGCUUGUUGUGUGCGUGUGUGUGUGUGUGUUUUUUUUUUUUUUUUUUUUUUUAAAUUUUUUAUGGCAGACGAUUUGUAUGUUUAAAUUUUAGGGAAAACUUCAAAAAAUCCCCCUAUAGUUUCACACUUUUUCAUUUUAGUACCCUAUGGUUUAAAGCGUAUCAAGUUAGUACCCUAUGGUUUCUCACUUUAUCACUUUAGUACCCUGUGGUUUAAAGUGUAUCAAUUAGUACUCUGUGGUUUUAUUUUUGUAUCAAGUUAGUACCAUGUGAUUUUUAAACCACAGGGUACUAAAGUGAUAAAGUACGAAACCACAUAGUACAAACUUGAUACACUUUAAACCACAUGGUACUAAAGUGAAAAAAUGCAAAACCACAGGUACUAACUUGAUACACUUUAAACCACAUAGUACUAAAGUGAGAAAAAGUGAAACCACAAGGGGGGUAUUUGAAGUUUUCUCUAAAUUUUAAUUACAUAGUAUAAAUUAUUACGUAUAAAAUUAUAUGUAAUAUAACUGUCAUGAAAAAUUUUUUUAAAAAAAAUAUUUUUAUAUAGCUCUCUGUAAAUAUAUCGAAUAACAGAUAUAUUCCUAUAAAGUUUAAUUUUUUAUAUCUAUGCUUAAAAAAUUCUAACGAUUUCAAAUCUACCAUGAUGCUAGUGUCAAUUAUAAAAAUAUAGUUAGCCGUAGGUGAAAUAUUCAACCUUGAUUAGUCAUGCAUGAAGCAAAUUGAACUUUUCACUCCUGUGAUUUAUACCUUUUUCUCUCAAUCAAACCAUAGCAAUGAAAACCCUUCUUCUUCCUCGCCAUCUUUUUCUUUAUCUCCCUCUCUCUCAUUCAAGCUAGUUUCAAAUUCGUAACUAGAAUUUAUCUAUCCUCAUUCCUUUACGAUGUGUAUUACUUUGCUCCAUGUUGAACACCGAAGAAUAAGUAUUAAAUGGGUAAAAAUCAUAAAAGGAGUAAAAGAAGAGGUAGAGAAGGGGUUGUAGCAAUGAUGAAUUGGAUUAGUUUUUUAUAAAGAAAAAAAUGACUAUUGAAGAUUUUUUCGAACGAUAUCUUAGAAAGAUCGUAACAAUUAAGACUUUUGGAGGAAUAUAUUUGUGAUAAUAAAAUUGACAUUUUACUUAUCUUCUAUUAAAAAAUAAACAGUAAGCUAAUGCUAAUAAAUUAGAGAAAUAAAUGUAAAAAAAAAAAUCAGAAAAAUAAAUAUAAAUAUCACUUGAUUAUUUUAAAAAUAAAUUUAAACUUUUAAAAUUUAUAAAAAUAUAUUCAUUAUUGGCCAAUUUGCAUAAAAAUUCUAUUAGUUUUCAGCGUUUGCAAAAGUAGGUCGUCCUUUUAAAUUUUGCAGAUUCGUGCCGAAUUUUUAGAAAGCUGACUAAAAUACCCUUAUUCCCUUUUCUCUCUUCUCUUUUUUUUUCUCGUUCUUUUUUUUUCUCUCCGAAGAGGGUGAUGGAGGCAUUUAUUUGAAUACAUUAUAACUUUUGUAGAGAUAACUUAUGAAAGUUGAACUUUGUAUGAAUAUAUCUGCUAUUCAUCAUGUUUGUGGGGACCUGUAUGAAAUUAACCCUAAAAAUUUAUAUGCAAAAAUUUUUCUAAUUUAAAUUUUUAUGACGAGAGAAAGAGAAGGUUGGAUCGGAAAAGAUGGGCCCCAUCCCUAACCCUACAACCAAGUGCCCAAAUUAAAUAAAAGAAUAGUGCCGACACAUAGGAAGUGAGCCGAGAAUUCAUAUAUUAACAUAGAUAAUAAUAAUAAUAAUCAUAAUUUCUCCCAUAAAUUUUGGGAGCUUGAUUUUUUUUUAUCUUCAUUAUUUUUUUAUUUGCAUUCCAGAUGCUUCAUUCUUUUUUAUUUAAUUACUAACAAUUAUAAAAUAUUUACUAGGUCAAAAUCACACCUUACCAUGCACGUGGAAAGAUUUUCGUGAAUCAUGUCCACCAACCACAUCAGUCCUCAACUAUAUAAGAGCCAUGGCAAAGGGGAAUUCAUGCUAUUUCCAUUUCUUCACAUCCGACCCAAACUGCUGUCAGUCCCGGUCGAAUCAGACAGAUCCACAUGGGACAAGUGGUCGGCCUUAAAAGGAGUCCUCCUGCCGCCCGCUUAAUUCUAGUGAACCACUGUUAUUCUAAUCGCACGUAUUUUUAUUCAAAGAUUAGAAAUUUAAUAGCAUUAAUGACUUGGUGCUAUUAAUAACAUUCCAGCCAAAUUCUAUAUAUAGUCCUGUUGGGAUACUAUCGAUAGCACCAAGUGUUUGGUACUACCGAGUUUUCUAUCAUUAGAUUUCUCUUUUUUAUUAUUUUUAACCGUUAGAUCAUACUAUUCAACUAGCCAUCCACUCAAUCCUAGGAGAUCACAUCAUCCUACCCGUAUGUAUUUUCAUCCAAAGGUUAGAAACCUAAUAACACCAAUGACUUGGUGCUAUUAAUAGUAUUAAUUCCAGCCAAAUUCUCUCUCUCUCUCUCUCUCUCUCUCUCUCUCUAUAUAUCUAUAUAUAUAUAUAUAUAUAUAAAGAGAGAGAAAGUAGAGCUGCUAUGCUAUUGGAAGUAUAGAGGAUCCAGUGCUUCUGACUUUUUGGUCUAUAGAUUAACCUCUUUAAUCAUUUCUAACUUUUGGAUUAAUACUAUUACCUUGUGGGGACUACUUAACCCUAAGAGUACCACUCAAUCCUUGGGGGACCGUAAUCAUCCAAACCGUACAAUUAUUGAUCCAAUGGUUAAAAAAUCGAAAGUAUCAAAUCUUUUAUGCUUCCAAUAGUAUAGUAGCACUACAAUAUAUAUAUAUAUAUAUAUAUAUAUAUAUAGAGAGAGAGAGAGAGAGAGAGAGAGAGUUGAGCUAAAAUACUAUCAAUAGCAAAUAGGCUUCUUUGCCACUCAUUUGUUUUCGAUGAUAGAGCCUCCAAAUCGAUGAUCGGCACCGUUGAACAUGAUUUAUACCACUUGAAGUGUUUAGAAAUCAAAUUUUAAAUCUUUUCGACAUCAUUUGCCUAAUGAUCAAAGGGUUUCAAACUUUGUAAUUUUAAUGGUCGAUAUGAGGCGUUUUCUCAUUUAACGGCGUAAAGAUAUUCAAAUCAAUUGAAUUUUUGUUAGAAAAGUUUUUAAACUAUUUAAAACAAGAUCUAUACUCUUGAUCUUAAUUACAAGACUCAUAUUAUCAUUUUUUUAAAAAUAUUCAUUUUCAACCGUUCAUUUUUGUGUCCACGCGAUGGAUUAGAGAAUAAUAUCGAAAAUGUAUGAAAUUUGAUUUCUAUACAUUUCAAGUGGUAUAAAUCAUAUUCAACAGUGUCGAUCGUCGAUUUGGAGGCUCCAUCAUCGAAAACAAAUUGGUGGCAACGGAGCCCGUUUGCUAUCGAUAGUAUUCUAGCUCAACUCUCUCUCUCUAUAUAUAUAGAGUCCGGCUAUGAUGCUUGUGAAAGCACCAAGCACUUGGUGCUUGUAAAUUUUUUACCGUUAGGUCUCUACCUUUGAUAAUUUUUACCUGUUAAAUUAUACUAUUCAACCAACCACCCACUCAACCCUAGGGGGCCUACAUCAUCCUAACCACACAUUCCUUAAUCCAAGAGCCAAAAACUUACAAGCACCAAUGACUUAAUACUUUUAAAAGCAUAGGAGCUCAAUUAUAUAUAUAUAUAUAUAUAUANUAUAUAUAGUUGAGUUAUAAUACUAUCGGUAAGAAACAGACUCCAUUGCCACCUAUUUAUUUUUGAUGAUGGCGCCUCUAAAUUAAUGAUCAUGACCAUUGAACAUGAUCUAUAUUUUUUAAGUAUUUAGAAAUCAAAUUUUAUGUCUUUUCGAUAUUAUAUAUUCUCAUGUCCAUUAAGUAGAUACAAAAAUAAAUGGCUGAAAAUGAAUCACUUUUAAAAAGUGAUGAUAAAAGUCUUAUAAUCCAGAUUAAGAGUAUAGAUCUUCUUCUAAAUAGUUUAAAUUUUUUUUUAACCAAAAUUCAAUUGAUUUGGAUAUUUUUACGCCGUUAAACAAGAAAACGUCUUAUAUCAACCAUAAAUUACAAAUUUUGAAGCUCUUUGAUCAUUAGGCUAGUGAUGUCGAAAAGAUUUGAAAUUUGAUUUCUAAAUAUUUUAAGUACUAUAGAUCAUGUUCAACAGUGCUGAUCGUCGAUUUGAAGGCUCUAUCAUCGAAAAUAAAAUGGGUGACAACAGAGCCCGUCUGCUACCGAUAGCAUUCCGACUCAACUCUCUCUCUCUUUCUCUCUCUCUAUAUGUGUAUAUAAAUUUCCAUCAUAUUUUUCAAUAUGUAAACUAAAUAAAACAGUAAUUACUAUGACAAUUAAAUAUAUUUUUAAUAUAACUGUCAUUAUUCAUUAUAUUAUUUUAUCGUAAUUGACUUCGUCUUAGUCUGUUUUUAAUAACUCGAAUUUCGACUAUAUUUUAAUUACGGCAACUCGAAUAGCAAUUAUUAUCAUUUACGACUGAAAACAAUUUAGCCCUAUCUGUUUUUAACCCAAAUGAAUAAGUCCUUGAAGUAUUUUCAUAAUUUUUUAAAAAAAUAUAUAUUAAGAUGGUAAUAAUUAAAGUAAGAGUUAAAAUAAAUUUGCACACCGAUUACGGCCUGAACGCGGUCGAGAGGACAAUUUUUCUUUAAAUCCUUUGCGAACAGUUCGGUGCCACGUGUCCAUUCUACAACCGUUGGGUCAAUGUCGACGCGUGCGCCGACACGUGGCGUCGGCGCACGAAUCGAGGAAAUGUCCCCGCAGGGUCUCGCACGUGCUUGUUCGCACGUGUUACCCAACUCCACCAUUCACAAUUUCUUUGGACGCGUAUUCAAAUACAGAUAAUAUAAAUAUAUAUAUCUGACGCUAAAUUUUUAUUUAACUAUAUUUAUUUAAAACGAAUUAAAAUUUAAAUAUUAUUUAAAUAAUAAUACAUAAUAAAAUAUUUUUAUAUAAAUUAAAAUUAGCACAAUAAAAUAUAAAAUAACUAAAUUAUGAAUGUAAAAUUUUGGAUAAAAUUAUUAGAUUCUUGAAUAACUGUGUUAGAUAUGUGGAUAAAACUAUUUUGAAUAUCAAUCAUUAAAUUUUUAGACAACUGUGCUAAAUACGACGGGUAAAACCCACAGUUUUCGAGAACACAAAGGCGCGAUCUACUAAUUACACUUUGAAAGCCCUUGUAAUUAAUUAAGUUGUACCGCUCCACCAGCAUAGCUCCUUCUUUUUUUUAUUUUUUUGAGAAAAAGGUAGCACGCUACCCGCUUCAUUCAUUAAAAUGAUGAACUCAGUUAUAGGUGUGAGGCAACACGGCCUCGGGGUGAGGGCGAAAAAGGUAGCAUAGCUCCUUUUUUAAUUAUUAUUACUACACCUAUUUAAUUUCAUUUAGACACUUCGAGAAAUAGGUUUUAUUUAUUAUUGCUACCACACCUAUUUAUUUUUUUAUAAACUUAUUAUAUCAUUUAGGCACUUCUAGAAGUAGGUGGAUUGCUUCUAACAAUUUUUUAUUUUAUCACGUAAUAAUUAAUUAAACAAAGUGCUGAAUUUGAGGACUAGGAUAAGAGACAGUUCACCGCAUACAAGCUUUUAUAGAAACGAAUAUAGAACUAGGCUAGAAUACUAUCAAUAGCACCAAGCUAUUGGUGCUAUUAGUUUUUCGGUCCUUAGAUGAAAAAAUAUACGGUUAAAAUGAUGCGAGUUCUCUAGGGUUGAGUGAGUUAUUUAUUUAAUAGUAUAAUUUAACGAAUAAAAAUAGUCAAAGAGUUAAAUCUAACGGCGAAAAAUUUGAUAGCACCAAACGCUUAGUGCUAUCGAUAGUAUUCUAGGCAGACUCACUAACAUAAUGUAUGUUACAAACAUGCAAUUAAUUAAUUCAUUGGCGUAUUUCACACUACAACAGAAUUAGAUUAUAGGGACACAUGUUUGGGACACUUUUGUCUAAGUGUCCCAUUUAUGUCAAAAUUUUAAAAAACAUCUAUUAAUGUCUAAAUAUAAAGCCGAAUCCAACAAAAAAUAAAAUGUUACUAUACUCAACCUACCCAACCCAGCCCAUUUGGUCCGAUUCCAAAUAGAAAAGAAAAAAAAAAAAAUCGAUUACCAUCUCCCCAUCUUCCCUCACUUAAUCCAUUGAAAUUCUAGAAGAAGGGCCCUUCCCUCUCGUUCUCCUCCGCCACCGCAGCCAACGAGAUAGAGUUCUGACACUACAACAAAACAUGCCUUUAGUGGCAAUUAAAUAGUGGCCAUUAUGAAAUGGCUGUUAUUGAUUUAAUAUCUAAUUAUAUUUUCGCAAUAAUUUUUAAAUUAUAAAUCAAAUAGGAACCCCAAUAUGAACCAAUCCCGAUCCCACCGGAUUGUAACCCAAUCCCACCCCUCUCCUUCCUUGCGUGGAUCCUCCUCCCUCUCUACCAACAUCGCCUUCUCCUCCACCUCUCUCCAAUGGCGCCGCUCCCUCAAGCUCCAAACCCUACCCCGCAGGUCUCCUCCUUCCUUCUCCCUCCUCCACCGUAGGAGCUUACGAUCCUCUUCCUUCUCUGCUCCUCAGGAGGGAGUGCCCUAACACCGAGUGCGGGGCGGGGACGUUCAUCGCCAACCACUUCGAUCGCCAUUACUGCGGCAACCACGAACUCUUCUUCUUCGACUCUCCUCUCAACUGCUUCUACACAAAGGGGUCGCCUGAGGUAAAAGCUUAGGGUUUCUAAGCCAUCCUCUCUAUCACCUUUUUUUUUUUGUUGCAAAAUUUGUUGAGAUUUUGUUCCUUUGAUAUGCUCUAUAGGAUCAGAUCGAAGAUUAGGUUUCAAUAUUUCAUAAGGUGUUUGUUUCUUUUAAUGCUAUUGAAUCAUGAGGCAUAGAGAUGGGAUUUUUGUAUUGGGUUUGGAUGAAGUGUAUGUGUAGCCCCUGAAUCGUGAUAAUUUUGUGACUUGGUCGCUGUAAUUUUCACUUGAAUAUUGUAGACAACGCUGCCUUUCAAUUUCAUUUAAAAGAAAAAAUGAAAUAAGUGAAUCAUUUUACAAAUGGAGGUAAUUUUUUCAUUUUGUAACUAAAAUCAAGCAUUUUUUUUUUAAAGUUGGGGAUUGAGGGUCCUAAAGUGCAAGAUAUGUGAAAUUUCAUGGACUAAAAUGUUUGAUUAUAGGGAGCAAGCUGAUCUCUGAGCAUUUUACAGUAAGAUAUUUUAUGAUUGCAGUUUCUAAAUAAUUUUGUUUGUAUGCAUUCCUCUCAGAAUUAGUGUCUGAGUGGAAAUUAUUUACCUCUUUUUUGAGUAAAUGGUUGAGAUUACUUGCUUGUAUUUUUGCGACCAGAUCAGUAUUCAACACUAACUAGUUAAGGUUUUCUAAACUUGGGUUUACUUUUAGCUAUUUUUUUUUGUUUAUUGCUCAAUACGGUGAAAUUGGAGAAUGAAUAUUCAACCAGCCUUAUUUAGUCUUUGUUUGGUCGAAGUCGUCAUCUUUGUUUUCAAAGAUAAGAGAGCUAUUUGUGUAUAUUUCUCGUCUUUUAUCUAGUAGUCCUUGUUGCUUAUGAUUAGCUUUGUUUUUUUUGUUUCUCAUGUUUUCUACUUUUCAUAGUCCUAUUCUGUUUAUUUAUAGAUCACAAAAAAAAAAGAUGGUGAAUGUUGUUGCUGUUCUAGGUAGCAAUGAGGGUGUCAAAGGCACAAUCAACUUCACCCAGGAAGGAGAUGGUAAAUAUAAUACCUAAUCUCAAGUUCAUUUUCGUUGUACUAUUUACAAAAUUUGACUUAGACUAUUGCUUCAUAUGCCACUUCGUUUUUCUUUUUCCCCUUGUUUCAUUGAUUUAGGUCCAACAACUGUGAUUGGGAUGAUCGGGAGCAUAUCUGGCCUCAAACUGGGGCUAUAUGGCUUCCAUGUCUAGGCACUUAUUGGUGACACUAUCUGAUUUGUGGAGGUGAUAUUUAGUUGUCUAUUUAUAGUGUUUUUUAUAAGUAUCUUUUUUUCUAAGGUAAACUAAUUUUUGUUUGGUUGUUCUAUUGUUCUGCUUGAUUUACUAGUGGUUUAUGUGUUGUAAUAUUGUUCUACUUGAUUCGGCGGUAUAGUGUUGUCAUUUAUUCACAUUGCUUUGAUUCGAGAAGAAAUAAUUUUAGGGAACACUUUUGUAUGUGUUUUUUUUCCCUCUGUGACAUAGACAAAUUUUGUCAUGUUUAGAGAAUAAAAUUGUGAUGCAUUACCUGGACAGUGUUCUAGGAGUAGGAACUAAGCCUCUUAUAUUGAUUGCACAUAGGUAUAUCACCUGCUUAGUACGCCUCACUUUUACAAUAGACUUUUUAGCCUCAAACUUCUAGGGAGAGAAGAUGAUUCAGAGGAACAAGUCCGUGAGUCCUAACCAUCACGUGAUUCAUAGACCCACGUCCAUCCCAACUAUACUGUGAUCACAUACACAUUUUUGAACUUGUAACCGAGUUCAAGAUAAAAUUUUGAGAGAUUUCAAACUUCAAAUUAGUUGCUUGGAUUCUUUGUGAAGAGUUGAACUUGGGGAGUGCUUCAAUUCAGUGACCUGGUAGGUUUUGAUUGCUGAAAUGGUGAAUAGUGCUGGAUGUGGCAAUUCUUGAAUUAGAUGGAAUUUACCUUGCUUAAUCUAGUUAGCUGAGCUUUUGCUGGGUUUUGGGUGAUCUUAACUUCAUCUUUUUCUAGUAAGAAUCUUAUUCGGGUUGAAUCGAAGGUUAGUUUAGAGAGAAUUUCAGAUUUUACUUGAGUUCCAAUCAAUUUAACCUCAUGUGGAAUUCUGAUUUUUUAAUCCAAUAUCCACCUCUUUUAGCUGAGAAGUAUUGGUGUGAUUUUGGAUGUUUUCAUGGUAGAUGAGUUAUGGAUCGACCUUUGAACUCUCCCUCACACCCCUCUCCUUGUUGCUCUCUUGCUGGUUGGUUUUCUGCGGAGCACGCAAUCAACAACAGCUAUAACAAUCAGCCGACAGCAGCAACAUCAGCAUGCUGGCAGCAUUGAGUCGAGAAUUGGGAGCUAAAUUGGAUAUGAUUCGAUGCUCCAUUUUCGAAAUUGAGCUCUUAUAUUUGUGUGGGGAGAAGUUGAGAAUCAUCUUGUACCUUCCUUGAGCUGGAUUUGCAGGUUAAUAGCUCUGAUUUUUAUGUUGAUCGAAGGUGAUGCAUAAUGCUGAUUUUUGACCCAACUUCAUAUUUGAAUAAAAUUCGUUUGAAUUUCUUCUAGGAACUGAGUUUGGAAGGAUUGGAAGCGAUCUCAACUUCAUCCUUUUGUGGUUAGAAUCUUGUUUGGACCAAUUUGGAGGUAAAAUGAGUAAGAAUUUUAGUUUUCUUUGAGGUUGAAAAUCGGAAAACUGAUUUUGGCAUUCUUCGCAUUUUUGACUUUUAAUCACUUUUGCAUGGUAAUUUUGUAGUGAUCAAGUGAGUUUUCUGGUGGAUUAAAAUCCUGGGAACACACUUUAGAGUAUGUUGGUGUUCCUCAUUCCCUUGGUUAUCCCGUGGAUUAGCCCUUGGAGCGGAGACAGCAGCAAGUAUUUUUGGCAAUUAGUUUUGAUUUGGACCUUAUUGCUACGAUUUGAUGCUUCUAGGGUGUUUUUGAAGUACAGAGGAACAUGGGAAUUAUGUUUCAACUAUUGGUUUGAGGUGAGUAAUACUAAAUUUUAGUUUUUUUCGAACUGAAUCGACAUUGAUGGAUUCUUCUUAAUCCACGGUACAAAUCCCACGAUUUCUACAUUGCAGGAGACACGAACAUGGGAAUUAAGUUUCAACUAUUGGUUUGAGGUGAGUAAUACUAAAUUUCAGUUUCUUUCGAACUGAAUCGACAUUGAUAGAUUCUUUUUUUUAGUAUAUAUAAACUAAGCAAAUGAUGAAAAGUAAUAAGGGAAGAGUGAAAAUGCUGUCCAUGCAUGAAAAAUGCAACCAAAAACACCAUGUACGCACUUUCAAGGAGCUUUUGCUGGCAGCCACCUGAGUAUCCAGAGGUCUUUCCGGUCCACCGUCAACCUUAGACGUGUCCUAUCUCUGUCACGGCCUUUUCAUACUGGGAAUGGUGUUUUCUUUUUUUCUUUUUUUUUUUUGUUUUCUUUGAGGUCGAGCUUGGAAUGGACUUAAACAGUAAAUUACCGUGUUUUGACUAGUGUGAAACAGGCAGCUUCUAUCGAGCUGAUGCUCUCGUUGACAAAAAAGUGGAAAUUCUCCGAUCUUUUUCAGGACGGGUUGACUAAUGUGAACGAGCAAACAAUUGUACUAACAUUCGUAGACGCAUCCUUCCUCGCCAUUUGCACAAAAGAGCUCAACAAGUGUUUUAAUUAGAUCGACAUCCACAGAUGACGAACCCGUGGGAGCGUCGUAUCACAGUUAAGAAGUAACAACAUAUCACCUUUUUUUUAACUUUCUUUUUUUUUUUCCGCCCUCCUCGAGACCUCAGAUGUUUCAUCCCCGUAACUAAAUUCAUAAUUUCAAUAAAUAAAGCGAGUAAAAUAUUAGCAUCAUAAACACUAAUGGCGUCAACACUCGGAUUGUAGAUGAUAACACUGUUAAAUUUGUAACUGGAUCUUCCAAGGAACUUCAUGAGAAACUUGGCAAAUAAUAUGGAAGUGAAUGCGAGGCAUGAAAGUAUUAGGAGUGCGUCUUUUUUCAAAGAAAACUAAAUGCACACUAUAUCUCUGUUUUUGGAAUCUUUUUUGCCUAACUAUAUUUUUUGCUUUGAUCUGAUGAACUUGGUGUUUAAUACUGAACGGAGUGUAUACAGUUCAGAUUCCGCCUUUUUUUUUUUAAUGCAUUUAUGCAGGAAAGCUAAUAACUUAGCAUUGAUCUUAUUUGAUGCUGUAGUUUGUGAUCCAGUCAUGGGAGAUGAAGGAAAGCUAUAUGUUCCACAAGAGUUGGUAUCUGUGCAUCGAGAAAAGGUGAGCCUCAGACCACUUGAUCUACAUUUUACGGCACAUUACCAUCGUUUUCUAGCAUUUUAUAAAUUUGUUUUAUGUCCUGUAGUUUAUUCAGAGAUAAUGGCUUGGAGUCAUGUUUAAUACUCUUUGUUCUUAAUUUUCUUUAUAUGAUGUUAUAUUUUUGACAAGUCUGUGAUGUUUGAUCUACAUGUUUAAUAUUUUUUUCCUUUUUCGUUUUUGUUAAUUAAUGUAAGGUCGUUCCUGUUGCUUCUAUGCUUACUCCAAAUCAAUUUGAAGCUGAACUACUGAUUGGAUUGAGGUAGGUAUGCGUUUAGUUUGAAGAAUAACAUUUAUUUUACAUUGGCAUCAGGAGCAUCUGACCAGAGUCCAUAUAAUACUAUUUAUAUCUAAUUUUUUUUCUUUAGGAGCGUCUGAUCACUUUGUAAUCAUAUUUAUGUACGAAAAUGCUUCACAGGUUGUUGUUAGAAGAGUCAUAUCCUGGUGUGCUACUUUUUGAUUUUUGAACCCGGAAUUGUAUUUAAUAUAUUGUGAUUUAGUAUAGGAUUAAAAGAGUUAGUUAUUUUGUUAAGUUUAACUAAAAUCACUGUUUGUGGAGGAAUUAUGUAUAGCUUCAAUGUAGUAGAAUUUUGAUGCUUGCAAUUUGAUAAUAAUUACUUGAUUGCUAUUGUCAUGACUCUAUAUUGACAUCUUCAUGUUUUAUUAGAGUAGUUGCAUCUGGUUUGUAGGUCUGUUGCAUCCAACAUGCAAAUAUGAAUCAUGUUAAAUCUGAGCUAAUUCUACUCAUAUGACAGUUACUUCAUUGAAUCUUAUUAUAUAGUUGCUAGUUCAAUUUGCCAUCCUAGAUAUCUAGUACUAAGAUUACUGGUCAUUUUCUAUUCAAUCGAUUAUUUGGUAACAUGUAUCAAAACUAGUUGUAAAUUCAUGCCAUUACUUAUCUGGAUUGGCUGAUAACUAUGAAAAUGCCGCUUUGGUAUGGUAAUGAGAACUCAUAUCCUUGCUUACUAACCGUAGCUUCGUAUUUACCAUCCUUAUUAUCCAACUAAAGACGUUAACCCAUUUAAUUUCAUGUUUUCGCUGAAGGAUAAACACUAAGAGCUGAAUGAUAGCUCAACAUAAGCAAGGGAGGUUCCAAAUGUUAUGAACUUUAUGAGCUGAAUGAUAGCUCCGAUUCUCGACCCGGCGAUCCCCAUAUCUCCCUUGCUAUCGCCCAUGACCUACUCGGCCCCGCGAGGACGAUCCUCGACGAUCCGAUCCGAGCCCUCAGCGGUGCCGCUUCUCGAUUCCUCUUCUCAAUUUGGUGCUCCGAUCCAUUGGUAAGAGUUCUCAAUCUCAAAUCAUUAGUUUCGUACUCGAAUCCUCAGUUAUCUCAAAUCAUUAGUUGUAGGAAUGAUUAGACGAUUUAGAUGUUUCAUACUUUCUUAUCCUUUAUUUAUUUGCAAAUUUGGACUUAUUCAGAAAUCUGCAUUGGUUUAGAAAUCCUACUAUAUCUGCAUGUCUAUUUUGUUUUUUCUUGGGAUUUCAUUAAAUUCUUUUAAAUAAGGUAAAUGCUUAUGGGGUUGUGGGCUUAGAGCUUAGGGUUUAGGAUAUUUGGGUCGUAUUAUAAAUGCUUUAGCUACACCUAUUGAUGGGAGGGGAAAUUUCAGCUUCUAAAUCUUGGUUAAUGCCCCCUCAAAUAGGGCUUAUUGCUAUUGAUUCUAUAUACGUAGAUGAAUAAAUAUGUAUCAUACUCUAGACUAUUAACGAAUAUCUAUCCCGAUCCUUCUCUAUUAAUUAUUGGUUUACACACCAUUUGUCUUUCCGCCAGCGGCUUAUGUAGUGGUCAGCCAAAGCCUCACAGCAUCUAGUAGUCUUGCCCCGACUUGAUACCCUAGCAUCUAAAUAGGGGCUCUUCCUUAAUUUACUUGUGCUUGGAUAAUGAAGGAGCAUAUAUGAGCAUGAAUCUUUUUACUACACUAAAAAAAAAGAUGUAGGUUAUGCUGCUUUAACUUUGUUCUUUUGUAUCUUGAUACAUUUUCUUUUCAGUAGCUUUUCUACCUUUGUUUAAUGAUCUUAAUCUUUUUUUUUUUUUGUUUAAUGCAUUUCGUAGUGCAGAUACCAAUUUUCACUUUGUUGGGUGGCAAACUUUUACUGAACUCUUAAUUCAACUUCGGUCGCACUUUGUUGGGUGGCAAACUUUUACUGAACUCUUAAUUCAACUUAGGUCGCACUGUCUAUAUAUUUUAUUAGGUAACUUCAUAAUUUUUUGAAUCAAGUCUAGAUUUAGCCUAUAGCCUGAAAUCUUUUUUGCUGUUCUCAUAUUCAUUUUCAGAUGUGCUUGUCUACUUAAUUAAAGUGCUAUUAUUACAAAAUGAAAAGAAAAGAUAGACCAAAUCAGUACAACCUAACUUUUAUAUUUUUCAGAAAUUUGAUAUGAUGAUUUUUAUUUGGUAAUUUCGGACACUGAUUUUAUGACUUUUUUUUUGUUGAUCCAGAACAGCUGGAGCUGCGGAAAUUGAAGUGGGAAGCAAGAAUUUCAAACAUGCGGUGUUUGUUAUUUUUUAGCUACAUUUUGAACAAGUAUUUUUUGUUAGAACUUAUGUUUGAAAUUUAAUUUGAAUACUGAGAUUGUAAUUUGAGAGUUGAGACUAUUUGUUAUACAAAUUAUUAAUGCUUUUUGGUUACUAAUAUUUUUUAAUAUUUCAAUUCAUUGUAGUAUUUAGUUGUUAAUCAAGUAUUUUAAUAUUAAUUUAAUUGCCGCUAUAAGCUUUAUUAAUCAAUCAUUUAGUAUGUUUUUUGCGGCAAUUAUAAUUAAUUGUAGCGGCAUUUAUAAUAGUUGUUAUUGUAUAUUAUUUAGCGGCAUUUAUAAUAGUUGUUAUUGCAUACUAUUUAGCGGCAUUUAUAAUAGUCGUUAUUGUAUAAUAUUUAGCGGCAUUUAUUUGGAUUUUUACCAACCGCCGGAAUAAAUGCCGCUAAAACUUUUAGCGACCCUGCCAAUAGCGGCAAUUGUUAAAAUUGCCACAAAAUAUUUUAGCGGCAAUUGUAAUUGCCGCUAAUUUAAAAAAUAAUCGCCGCUAAAAUAUAAUUUUGUUGUAGUGUGACUAUUGCUAGAUGCUUAAAUAAGUGUUGCUAAAUUAGCAAGACUUUUGUAGGUUAUAGCGACACUCUUUAACUGUCACUAUAUACCUAGCGACCCCACAUAUAGCAACACUUUUUAAAAGUGUUGGUAAUUUAGCCAGCAACACUUUUUUUUACCUAUACCGAUAUUUAAAAGUGUCGCUAUAGACCGUUUUUGUUGUAGUGUCAUGAGCAUAUUAACAACUAACACAAACAUAUGCAUAGAAGUGCUUAAGCAGUUAAUUAGAAAUGUCAGUAGAUGACUGAAACAUAUGCAUCGAUAAGCUUACCAAUUAAUUGUUUAUUUAGUUUCUCAUAUCCACAAACAAGACAUACUAAUUAGUUGUCGGAAAAGAAGCUAUGAAAAGGAAAUAUUGUUUGAGUGAUCAAAAGUAUAUGUGAGAGUUCCAAAAGUUAAUGUUUAAUGCACAGAAAAUGUGCAGUGGCUCUGCGAUGUAGUUGAACGUUAAAUCAUGCAUGGUGGUACUUCGCAGCAACGUAGGGGCACUUCGAAGGGGUAAGAGAAUAUGUAGAUGCUAUCGUUUUAAAGAGGCGAUAAGGUUCGUUUGAUUAUCCAACCGUUUUACGUGCAUGCAUGCGUGCGUGCGUGAGUAUUGACGAAGGAUCUAGUAAAAUGUGUCGAUCAGCAAGGGAUUCAUUGUACGUUCCACACCACGACCUUUCCAAUCAAAUUAUUACAGCUCCAACAAACUAAUCUGACAUGUUAACGUUCAUAAACUAUUUUUUAUCAAAUUGAUCUUUUAACUCUGCAUCACUCGAUUGGUUUUAGAGGUGUUGAGGUUGUAUUCAAACACCUUCAAAGUGUUUUAAUAUGAGCGUAUCGAGCAAUUUGAUUUAGGACUAGCCAUUGCUAGAAACAGAAAAAAAAUUGUUUGUCCUUUGUUUUGUUAUGGUAUCUCUUUUAUAAGUACAAUAUUGAUAUGAUAUUUAUAAUUUAACUAAUUUAAAAAUUGCAUGCUAAGCUAUAAGUAGGUAAAUCAUUUCUAGUACUACGUGAUCGAGCUAAUAAAUAUAUAUACAAUAAAGAAGAUGUGAUUAUUGAGGCAAUUGAAUUGAAAUAGUUAGUUUUUAUGAUUGAAUAAUAAUAAGUUGAGAUGGUUAGUUGUUGCACUCAACAUCAUGCAUGGGCUUUACGUCGUCGUUUUACGUGCCACACGGUUCCAUCUAAAAUUGCGUGCACAUUUUAUUUUUAAUUUUAUUCUUUACCUUUUUUUUUUUUUUACUGUAGUAACUUCUCUCAAAAAAUACAAAAAAAAAACAGAGAGGAAAACUUAGCUAAUAUUUUUGUACACUACCCUACGUCACCCGUUUACAGGUUGGCCCCGUCUACAUGAUAGCCUCAUCGCGUACGUAAUUUGAGCCACACAUAGUUCACUAUAAAAUGAAAAAAUUAAAGGGAAUUUUAAAAAAAAAAAUUCAUUGACCAUAAGUUUUAAUUUAAUUGACACGCGUCGCUAGCUAGUUUGAAGGUUAAAUUUGACAUUUUUUUAUUAGAAUAUUUGAGCGCGAUAUAAAGAUUGUUGGCUUAAAUAAACCAGCAUUUUGUUCUGUGCAGGGAGGCUAAGUAGACUGAGUCACGUUCGAAAUGGCGCGAGGUUGGGUUGGACGAAGUCAUGUUUGAAGUGGCGUAAGUUUAGGGGGACCGAGCCAUAAUCGAGACUCGUAGGCGUUGUAUCUAUACGCUUUAAUUAAGUGAAUUAGUUGCAUAGCUCGAGCUUUUGGGAUUAACGAUUAGCGCCAACGAUCCGACAUCUUUUGGGAUUAACGAUUAGCGCCAACGAUCCGACAAAGAUGUCUGCGGUUGAUGAUUCAAUUGAAUAGCGUGACGGCUAAAAAGUUAAAGUAAAAAUAAAUUUGGAAGAAAAAAACAUAUUUGCUUAUUUAUAAGGUUUAAUUAGUCAUUAAUUAGAUGUAAGAAGACACAUGCAUUUUUAUAUUAAUCCAAAAGAAGGAAUAAAUUUGCAUAUUUUAAGUAUUUCGAGGAAUAGGUAUGAUAUAUUUAAAUUUGCAGGGAUAAAUUGAUAUAAACAAAUUUCUUUUAGAGAGCUUUUGUGAGCACAUAAAAAUAUUAGUGAUUUGGAAGUAAUUGCUUGCGCUGAUGCAUUUGUGAGUUUAUUCAUCUUAAUUUCAUCCACUCAUCAUUGAUCCCAUCUAAUAUUGUCAAAUUCAAAAUAUCCAUUGCAACAUCCAAUAUAUGAAUAAAUGUGCAAGCAUCGAUAUAUAUAUAUAUAUAUAUAUUGUUUAACUAAUAUUUAGCGAAAAACAUAAUUAGCGACCAUAAUAUUAUUGAAAAAAUUAUGACCUAAAACUAGCUAAAAAAAUAUUUUUUCAAUCAAAAUGUCUUUUUUAGAGAUAUUUUUGGGUAAACCAAAUAUUUUUAGUAAUGUUUUUUGCAUAAAAUACGGAGAAUCGUUUUUUAUGAAAAAGAGUUUUUGAAUAAAAAAUAAUUUUAUAGGAUAUGAUGCUUGGUUCAUAGAAAAAGAAAAUCAGUUUCCAUACCAUAUUUAUUUACCUUGUCCCGAAAAAUAGAAAAAAUAAUAUAUAUAUAUAUAUAUAUAUAUAUAUAUAUAUAUAUAUAUAUAUAUAUAUAUAUAUAUAUAUAUAUAUAUAUAUAUGAGUUAUUUAGAUAAAUUAUUUAGUUUAUUUUAUCUAAACAUAUUAUUUAAGUAUUAUAGGAUAAAUAAUAACAAGAAAUCAAAUAUAUUUUAAAAUAAUAUGAGAUUAUAAGUAGAGAUUAUAAGUAUGCAAUUAUAUGUAGAGAGCAAUUACUCUGUUUUUUUAUUAUCUAAUAAUAAAAUAAUAUAUAAUAUAUUAUUUAUACAAUGUAGUUUAUGCAUUCGGUCAAUGAGGUUAUACUACUUUAAGCUCAUGGACCACGUCAAAAUUCCUAAUGUGGACUUGGGACGCGGCUAUUUUUCUUUUCUCUUUCAUAAAGAGAAAGAUAGCAUGCAUGCCAUUUAUUUCGUUUAAGUCCUUAAACUUUUAUACUGUAAUUUUUGAGGGGAGAAAUAUUUAUUUUUUAUUUUUUUUGGGUAGAAAAUGAAAACUCUUUCUUUUCAAAAUAUCUGUAAGGUUAUUUUAGAGGGAAAAUUUUUUAUUGGCAAUCAAAUCAAAUGAUUGAAAAAUUAUUUUUUCUAGUCAAAAAUUAUUUUGGGCUCACUUUUACACUUCCCUAGUUCAACACAAGUGGAUAUUCAACCUUCAACCACCGGAGGUUGAUCCACAGCUUGACGAACAUCGAAUCGGUCUAAACCGAAGUACGUACUAAAUUUCAGCCCAGCUCUGACCAAUGUUUGUUCAUUGUGGUGCAAUUUCAGUCCCAAUGGGGCGAAGAACUUUUCGGGCUUUUUACUCUUUUAGCCCCAAUUUGGAAAGGGUGAAUCUUGGGCCAAAGCCUAUAUAACUAGGCGCAGCCCACUCCCAUCCUAGCAUAUACAGGCUCAAAGCGUAUUUGGAUGCACGAGUAUUUUGUUCAGUGUAUCUCUUUAUUUAAUAAAGAAAUAAUCGGUAGAAAGAUAAUCACUACAUAAACAAGAGCUAAAAGAUGAAGAUAUUUCGCAGAAAUUUGGACUCGUACCCACACAAAAUCAAGCAUCAACCAAAUACAAACUAGCAUGCGUAUCAACUAAUGAUCCAUCAUAUGCUGCAGAAAGAUUUAGAUGUCCAAGUCUAAGUCUCAGGCAAACAAGAGCUGUAAAAGAUCCAAAGCGCAGGAGAAUUUGAGUAUAGGGUACAUAAUGUCGCUUACAUACGCGAUGAGUGGAAACAAGAGAUAUUUCAAUAACAAUUAAGAAGCUAAAAGAGUAAAUGGUCUCACCAAAUUCAAAUUUCACUAUUACUCGACACCCUUCCACGAUUUGGAGAUGAAUAGCAUCCUUAUAGACCAAGAAAAGUUUGAGAGGCCACUUCAACUUUCAAAACUGCACAUAAUCCAGAAAUGCAUAUGAACUAUAUUCAGAGCUAAUGGCCACAACAAAAGACUACCAACUGAAUUUGCUAAUCUGAAAUAUUUCAUGCGGAAUAGUGUUUGGAAAUGUGAAUCAACUAGGAUUCGAACUUGGGUCUCGGGUACCAACCACCAAGUCCUUUGCCACUUGCUCUAGGGACAGUCGGUUUUCAUGCGGAAUAGUUGAUUAACGAAAACAGGCAGAUAAAAAGGAACAAAAUUCAUGUGAACAGCAAGAAGAAUGCAGAGUUCUUCUAAAUGAUCAGAGAGGAUGGGACAGCAUAACGAUUGGAAAGAAAAUGAACAAAAAGCUAAACCAGAUAUCAAAUUACAAUUACCUCAGCGCUAUUAACGGUCACCAAAGCAAUCUCAUGGACAUAAUUGCUUCUUACGAAGUAAACAUAAUACUGAGGUACGAUGUUCGACAGUUAUAAAAUUGCACUGUAGGAUCUUCAUUUCACGAGUAAUACCCGAAUCAUACACUGCAAUAACAGGUUUUCACACUGACCCCACAGACAAGUGCUGUAUUGUGUUAUGCAACUUUAAACACUCUCCUUUUGGAAUUCAAACCAGCAGAAAUGCUGAGAAAACAAAAAAUACUGUUAAUAUUAAGAAUGGCAAAUUACUUUAGCUGCCUGAAAAUAAUUUGUGUUAAGAAUGGCAGUUGGUAGUCAAUACAUUUAAAGUGAUUUGUCCAAAAACAAAUACAUCAUAAUUGCCUGAAAAAUACAGUUAAAGUAAAUUGAACAAACUUUGUCAUUAUUUCAGUCAAAUAAAUUUUCUUAAUAAUCUUCAAUCAACUGAAAGUCAAAUAGCUUGAAUAAUCCUAAAUAUAUCCGAGCACUGAAAGAAAGAGGGACAUUUGAGCCAUUUGCAUUUAAUUGAAACAAUUACAAAGUUCAUAAAGUUUAUUUUAAUGUUUCAAAGUUCGGGCAGUGAUAUAUGCAAUCAAGCAAAAUGUUCAGGGGAGCUAAUCAAGUACUCACAUGCUUCAUAUUCAUCCUUCUAAUCAAACAUCAAUUAAUGGAUUAUAGAAAACAAUUCCAGAUCAAACCCGAUCCUCAAAAUUACAUAUAGCACGAUUCAUCAAGCUUAUAAAACGGGAUUUUGAUUCAAACGAAAAGCAAAGCAAACACCAUGCACUUCAGUUAUAUAAUACCAGGCCCAAAUCACCAAAUCUAUGCUUUUAAAAAAAAAAAAAAAACACGGAGAGUAGGAGCCCGCACAGAUCAACAUCGCAUGGAGGCGAAGGGAUCCCCAAAAUUACACAUAGCACGAUUCAUCAAACUUAUAUAUAUAUAUAUAUAUAUUAUAUGAUCCAAUAUUUGAGGACUUUUUACCGACCGUUCCUAACGCAAGCGGCAAAGGGCUUGGUUGGUACCUGAGGUCCUAAGUUCGAAUCCUAAUUGAUUCACAUUUUCAGUUAAGUUUAUUUAUAAAAGAAAUAAAUAAACCGGAUAGCAUGUUACCUAUUUCUUAAAUUAAAAAAAUUUGAGGUCUUUUUCUCUUUGGCCCCAUAAAUAUUUGUGCUAUAUUUAUCUAAGUAAAAAUGCUCUACAAGGAUAAGAAUCUCGUCCCAUUGGACGAGAUAAUUCACUAAUCCAAUGAGAAUCAAGGCUAUUCACGAAAUUUUCCAAACACUUACAUUGUUUUGCCUAGCACGAUAUUUAAAGUUCACCGCAUUAAUUUUUGGUGCUCGUGCACCAAUGUGAAAGGGACCGUGGGCUCCACGUGUCCACGUGACACAUGGCCCACAAGAUCUUCUGCUUCAAUAAAUUCUACCUUAAAUUUUGGGCUCUCAUGUCCAUAUUACUGUUACGUGGUCCACAAUAUGGAUUUAAGCUUAUAAUUUAUUUAUUUUAUUUUCUUUGAUAUUAAUAUAUAAUUCUAGGCUCUCCACAUGACUCAUUUCAGUAUUCAUCCGUAACAGAAUAAAUUUAGAUAACUCAAUAUGGACGGUUCGAAUUGAUACUGCUAUGAGCAGUAGGGCUGGCAAAUGAGCGAGCCGGCUCGCGUUCGACUCGCGUUCGACUCGAUAUUUGGNGGGAGAGGUCGUACGGAUCAACAUCGCGGCGAUGGCGGAGGGAUCGGGGGAGGAGAUUUAGGCACCCUUGGCGGCGGCGGCGGCGGAGGGAUCGGAGGAGGAGGAGGAGGGGGGAGAAGGGGCGCGGAGUGGGGCGACGAGGGAGGCGUCGGGGUCGAAGUUAGGGUUGAGGGAGCGGUCGAUUGCGUCGCGGCCCUUGUCGAGGCAGGGCUUGCACGCGAUCUCGAUGGUGAUCCACCCCAGGAUCACCGCCGCGAUCGCCACCACCGCGGUCACGAUGGCCCCCAUACCAAUCGACGGUCCAGAUCCCUCGAUCUCGAUCACGAUCACGAUCACGAUCACGAUCACGAUCACGAGGAGGCCCCCCUCUCUCUCUCUCGUUUCUCGCUCUAGCUCUAUUGGUUUAUCAGUGUUCGAGGAGAUCUGCGCCGCUGCGCGGGACACGGGGAAGCGCUUUGCCGUCCGAGGAGAAAGACGAACUAUUGCCUGGACCCGGUUCACCAUGUCAUCCGCGGACAAUUAUAAUUGUGGAAAUUCAUAUUCCGGACUACAUGAUCUCAGAACUUUUUUUUCCAAAAAAAAGAUGAUAAUAUUUCUCCCGAAGUUGGAUUCCCACAUGGAUCUAUCUCGAAUGAAAUAGGGACUGAAAAGUAUUUCUCCUUAUUAAGAAUGGAGUGGUGUUGAUACAUCUUAUAAAAUUUUCCAUCCUAACUUUAGUAUAUAUAUUAUGAUAUAUAUUUUUAACUAUAAAAAUAUACAGAAUUUAUCGUAAAGCUACCAUACUAUCAAAUGUAUAGAGAAUCUAAUGCUUUCGAUUUUUUAGCCAUUAAAUCAGCCUCAUUAAUCAUUUCUAAUCUUUGGAUUAAUACUAUUAUUCUGUGAAGACCAUUCAAUCCUACCGAUACUACUCAAUCCUAAGGGGGACCAUAAUCAUCUCAAACGUACAAUUCUUAAUCCAAGAGUGAAAAAUUCGAAAGUAUCAAAUUCUUUAUACUUUCGAUAGCGUAGUAGCUCUAUAUCAGAAUCUACCUAAACUAUGGAUCGAGCUACACAGUCUUUCAAAAUUAUAAUUUUAAUAUCAAACCUAUCAAUUUAUUUAAUUUGAAUCAGUCAACAUCACUUGAACUUUACAAGUCUAGUUAGUAUAUAUUUUUUUUAGUUCUCGCAAUCAUAAAUUUAUUAAAAUAAAUAAUAAGUUUAAAAUUUUAAGUUAAUGAUGACGGACUCAAAUCAAAUAAAUUAAAAUAUUGGAUAGUAAAAUCAUAUUAUUUAGAUGAUUUAUAGAAUAGAGCUACUAUACUUUUAAAAGUAUAAGAGAGUUUGUGCUUCCAACUAUUUAGCUUUUGAUCAACCCUUUUGACCAUUUUUGGCAUUUGAAUUAAUAUUAUUAUUUUAGAGGACCAUUCAACUCUAAGAAAAACUACUAUCAUUUCAAUCAUAUAAUUCUUAGUCCAAAGGUCAAGAAGUCAAAAAUACUAACUUCAUUAUACUUUCGAUAGUACAGUAACUCUCCAUAUGAUUUAUAUUUUAACACAUACGUAAAAAAAAAAAAAAAAAAAAAAAAAAACUGAACUGAACAAAAAAAAAAGGUGCGGCUCAUGGCGACGUGGUAAACUAAACCCAGGAAAUAUUUUCUGCAGGGCUGACACGUGGACCUGACAUGUGGGCCCCAAGUGUCUGUCUCGUAAAAGCGUCUCCUCUUCCCCCUCUUCGCCCCCCUCCCGUUAGAGAGAAAAAGUAAAGAGCGAGCGAGAGAGAGAGAGAGAGAGAGAGAGAGAGAGUCUCACACAAGUACCUUAAACCCAAUCCAAACCCUCCUCCCCCAAAACCCCUACCUUUCGCCAUGCCACUACCUCUCCUCGGGCGAUCAUGGCGAUCGCCCCUAUUCUCCUCACCCGUGCGAACCCUAGCAUUCUCCCUCGUCCAUCGAUCGACCUACGUCGACGUCGCCAUGAAGUGGAAGAAGGACCCCUUCUACGACUCCAUCGGCGUCCUCGCUCGCUCCAGGGAUCUCAAGCCCCUCGUCUCCCUCAAAAGCAUCAUCGCCCGCGCCCCCUCCGACGCCGGGAUCCCCGUCUCCGCCGUCUCCAAGCGCGGCCGCGCCCUCGAGACCUCCGGCCGCCGCGUCGCCUCCUUCCUCCGCCGCUACCCCGCCGUGUUCGACGAGUACACCGGCCCCAACUACAACCUCCCCUGGUUCAGGCUCACCCGAGAAGCCGUCGACCUCGACCGCGAGGAGCGCGCCGUCUAUGACGCCCGAAAGCCCGAGAUCGUCGACCGGCUCCGGAGAUUGAUCCUCAUGUCGAGGGAUCGCCAAUUGCCGUUCAGAAUUGUGCAGGGGAUGCUGUGGUAUUUGGGCUUGCCCGAAGAUUUCCUCGAAGACCCCAACAACAUCUCUAAUGGCAGCUUCGGGGUAGUCGAAAUCGGAGACGGGGAGAAAGGAUUGAGCGUUGUCGGUGGUGGAGAUGAGCCAGUGUUUUCGGCGCUCCAGCGGAACGCACUGAGGCAAUUUGGCGGUUCUGCGGAUUCGCCUCCUAAGGAAGUUGCUUUCCCACUAUUCCCCUCUAAAGGCCUCCGGUUGAAGAGAAAGAUCGCGCAUUGGUUGGACGAAUUCCAGAAGCUUCCGUACGUCUCUCCGUAUGAGGAUUUUUCUCAUUUGGAUCCGAGCAGUGAUAUCUCGGAGAAGCGGGCGGCGGGAGUUCUUCACGAACUUCUUAGUUUGUUUGUCGAUAAUUCGGCGGAGAGGCGGCGGCUUCUCUGCCUCAGGAAGCACUUGGGGCUGUCGCAGAAGUUCCACAAGGUGUUCGAGCGGCAUCCCCAUGUGUUCUACCUGCUAUUGAAGAGCAAGACCUGCUUUGUUGUUCUAAAAGAAGCUUAUUUUGCCGGUUCGGACACCGCAUUGGAGAAGCACCCGAUGCUUGCGAUAAGGAAGAAGUAUGUUAAGCUGAUGGAUAAAUCGGACGCUAUUCUGAGAAGCCGUCGGAGUAGGAAACCUGUGGAAGAUGCUGCCGAGGGAAGUUAAGUUGCUGCUAUUGAUUCGAUGGAGGAUUCUGAUGGGUUUAGCAGAGGACCAUUAGAACUUGAGCGGAAGUCGGAAGAUUGGAGACAUGUUUGAAGCUGAAAUUGGCAGACUGCUUGGGGUUUGUUGAAUAGUUGAGAAGAAAUUCAUCAUUGUGCACAGAGAAGCUGGAAAGAUACAGGCAUUCACUUGAAUUGUGUUAAGAGGAGGCUAACUCGAGUUUCCGUGGCCAAUUUUGGUGCCAUAUAGUAAAGUCGCCGUAAUAUGCAGCAGACCAUUUGAAUUGCCACCUUGAGAUUGUGCAAGUCCGGUUAUAAAGGUAAAAAAGUUUCCUAUUUAGUUAAAGACCUGGCGAAAACCUUGUUAUAUCAACCGUACAUUCUGUCUACUGAUCUUUACCGUCAAAUUGAGCUAAGAACAAAGAGAUGGAAUUUUGAUUACUGUUUCGUGAUUUGCUAUUUGGAACUGAGAACUCCCUUUAGUAUGAUCGAAGUUUGCUUCUUCAACCUUGUUCAGCAAGUAGUAAAUGCCAAUCUAAAACUAGGAGCACAAUUUUCAUGUUAUUCUGAAGUUUGUUUCUCAGAAAUAGAGCUAAAAGCAAAAGUUGGUGAUUUAUUUGACAUCUACCUCUACCAAUAUCUGAGGAAUGACUGAAAUCUUCUGGAAAAGAGGUACCAUGCAGACUCCAAUUGUAAUGUGUGGUUUUAGCAAAAUAGCACAUAGCAUUGAUGUCUUAGCCGAGAUUGGUAAUUUCUUACUCAUGCUGAUUUUCUGCUUCCAUUUAACUAUGUCUGAUGUAAUUCUGUCGGACUCAAGAUUAGUUUCUUGUGCUGUUAGUUUUUUAGGUCUUAAUUGCGCGCUCUUGAUGGGCCAACCUGAUCCAAUAAGUUGAGCAGUUCUUGGUGAUUCUUGGUACUGCCGACAACUGCAGCAAGGAGUUAAAAGAAACACCUUUUGAAGAA